rnacentral:lncRNA from 1 species
UUGAUGGUGGGGCCAAUGGCGAAUCCCAGGCUUCGCAGCCUUCUAUGGUGGCGAAGAUGGGCCAAAAAGGACUGGGCAAUCGCCACCGUCGGAUUUACCGUUAUCGCCUUCGCUCUCACUCUCCUCUCCAACUCUUGGCGCGACGAAGCAGACUCCGAAAUCUCCCGCCCGUUUCUUCCCAACGCCGCCGCCUUCGAUUUCGUCGACUUGACCUUGCUGCGCAACGCCAAAGAUAGAGGGGCCAGUACUCAAUCCCCUCUACUUCCCAAUCUCUCUCUCUCUCUCUCUCUCUCUCCCCCCGCCCUAAUUGUUUGAAUUUUGGUUUUGCAGUUUGUUUGGAUGGGACUGCCCCUGGCUACCAUUUCAGGAAGGGAUUCGGAUCCGGCGCCAACAAUUGGCUGCUUCACAUUGAGUUCAAAUUCUAUCCCUGUGCCUUUUUUACAGGUCUAAUACAAAUUGUUCCAUUCAAUUUCAGUGAAUUUGCAUAUGCUAGUAGAUUUUUAUGCUUAGAAAGGAAAAUUGCGUGAUGGGUUUGGUUCGAAAAUUGAAAAUUUAGGGUGGAGGUUGGUGCAAUUCGAUUGAAUCGUGUUCUUGGCGCAAAGGUACUAUACUAGGGUCUUCUAAUUACAUGGAUCGUCGAGUUCCCUUUUCUGGGAUUUUGAGCUCUCAUCCAUCACAAAAUCCUGGUAAGCUUGAUUUUAUUCGGCUGCUAUUUUUAUUCCAGUAACGCUUCGUUUUGUAAUUCUAGCUCAAUCUAAGUUGUUGGCCAUCUAAUUGAUGUGAUUCAAUUCAUUGUUUGGAGCAUUCUCUAGAAUUCUUUAACAGGAACAAAGUCAAAAUCAGAUAGUGUGAUGGCGCAUCCUUCGCUGGCCACCCGGAAAAUGAGCCUAAGGUGCAUUGUGUUUGGAGAUUUUGCUGCCUUGUUUUAAUUUUAUAAACGGAAGAAUGUAAGCUGUUAGUUUAACAUUGGCUGUUCUUCUAUUUCAUAGAAAGGAUCAGGACCUUUUUUUAGGGGCCAGCUUAUCUGGGAAGCAGUUAUGGAUGAACUCUUGUCAAUUGGCUUGUCAAAAGUGAAACCGGUAUCUCGUGGUUACUUCGGUUAAGCUCUAUUUGAAUAAUAUGAAGUGCAGUUCACAGCUUUUAAACAUCAGAAAUUUUCUAUGCAUGUAUCGAUGAUUAUGACUAUACAGGAUGUCUUUUUCACUCUCUUUCGAAGAGCUGGUUUCAUUAAUAUUAUAAUGAUAUGAUUGGUCCAGCAAUUGUAAUACCAUUCCCCGCAAGAAAAGUAUUGUUUUCCACUGUGAACUAAUUAAAAGCUACUCAUCGAGAUUAUUACAAUGAGUGGUCUAUUUCUGCUAAUAAGCAUGAGUGGCACUCUUACAGGCUCUUCUUUCAGGAUGCUCUGCCGGUGGGUUAGCGACUCUUAUACAUUGUGAUGACUUUCGACGUCUUCUGCCUAAGGAUGCAACUGUCAAAUGUCCUGCUGAUGCAGGUUUUUUCCUUGAUGAGUAUGUUUUGGCGUACUGGUGCCUUCGGCACCUACAUCUUUUAGUGAACCAGUUCAAGAUGAAAUCUUUCUAGGAUUAUACAAGGAUCAUAUUUCUUUGUGUACGCUUCCAGGAUCAUAUGAUAUCUCCUAAAUCAUAAAUUUCAUAAAAUGAUGGUGUUGCCUGAUUCUACUCUCUCAUUUUCAUACCUCAGAAUAUGAGACCUAUCAAAAUGGAACACCUAUGUACCACAUGUUAGGUUUUUGGCUCAAAAUUAGGAUGAUGCAAUAAAUUAGGUUUGUGUUACCUAUUUGGUUUUGGUGUCCUACUUGGGUUUGGAUUUGACUUUUUAGUUAGUUUCCUUGGUGGAGAGAUUUUGUUAAUUACCUAUUUGAUUAGGAUUUGGAUUUAUUUCCUAUUAGGAUUCUUGAUGUAACCUAAGUCCUAUGCACUAUAAAUAGGACCUUAGGGUUAGUGUAUUUAGUGUGGUCAUUCGUGUGGCAAUUUGGUGAGAGUCAAUUUGUGAGUUAGAAAGCAAUUUGGGAGAAUCUUCUCCGUUUGUUUUGGGUUCUCUACUCGUUUGGUUUAGGGUUUUUAAUUUAUGGGAUUUGGGUUGUGACAAUUUUGAACACUCUUUUGUAAUCUCCGUUUGUUUAGUGAAAUUCCUCGCUGUGCUUCGCUCGUGGACGUAGGCUUUACGCCGAACCACGUAAAUCUCUUGUAUUAGUUUGAGAUUGUUUGUUUUAGCUUUCACCUACGAUGUUGAUUUUGGUACUUUGUUUGAAUUCGCUUCCGUUUGCGCAUAAAAGUACAACACCACAUUUUUCUAAAAUGAUUGAAAUUCUUCCUAUCAAGUUACAGUAGGAUUUUUUAAAUUGUUUUGCAUGUAUGAUGCUUUUCCCUUUUUUCCUAUCUAGUGCAUCCUCUGUGCUCAGGAUAGUGAAUUCAUAAAGAAAUAGGAGAUGUAGAGAGAGAAAGAGGGAAAGUUUUGAGCCAUUUUCUGUUUCCUACAUUUCAGGGAAGAUGUUCUCCAGCAUCGGACGAUGAGGUCUUUCUAUAAUGAUGUUGCCAUCCUUCAGGUUAGCUUUGAUCUUUACUAUUACUAGCUCAUGUGAUCUUUAUAUUUUUUUAUCAGUAUGCUUUUGUAGAAAUUUAAUUACUAUCAAAUGCUGACACUGUCAGAUCUGCAGGUUCCACCAUUUGAUUAUUUGAUGUAAAAACUAGUCGAUAUGUUUUUAAUUUAUAUGGGUCCAUCUGCUUGUUCUUUUUUGUGAGUCUGACACAUCAUCUAUGAGAAAAGGUUUCAUUCAUCUUGGUCUAUAUCACUUAAUGAAAAUUAAAUCUUUAGCGUGAAGCUUUAGGACAUUAGUCAUUAAACAGUACCUUCAUUGCUUUUUCUUGCUUAUUUUUCUGUCGCACUUUCAGUGUUUAUCAAAAAGUUUGCACAAGGAUUGUCUUUCGAGGAUGGAACCAGCUAAGGUAGUUGUUCUUUUCCUCUGUGGUGCCAAAUAGUCAAAUUUUAUAGCUUCUUAUUUUUCUGCUCAGUUAUGAUUUAUAACACAAGGCCCCCAUUUUUUGUUGUGAACUUCUACACCAGUGUCUCUUUCCUGAAGAAGUUAUUAAAUACAUUAAUACCCCAGUGUUUCUUGUCAACCCAGCUUAUGAUUUUUGGCAGGUAAUUUUCUUCAGAACCCAAGCUUCAUUUACUUGCUAUCAGAAAUUGAUUUGCAUUCUUUUGUCAUUUCCUAAUUUUAUGACAUUAGGUACAACAUAUCUUGAUACCUGAAGCAGCAGAUCCACAUGGCUAUUGGAGAAAGUGUAAACUGAACAUUCACAAUUGUAAUCCCAGCCAGCUUAAAACACUUGAUGGUAAUUAAAUUUGAGAAAACCAAAUUAUAUAUUGCCUGACCGUCCAGGAAAAUAACAUACACCUAAUGCUGUUCCGACUUUAUAUAGCUAAGCAUGUUUGUGACCAACUCUUCAUGCGCUACUACCCCAAUGAUCUGAUAAUUGUUAAUUCAAGUGGUUGAUCGUAACCAUCUAUAGAUUUUUGUGGACUAUAAACCAGCAUAUUUGCACACUGCAUGCUGUGAUGAGCAGGAAGUUAGGGGUCUUCUCAUCACGUUUAAAAUAUCCUAUGAAAAAUGUUACCCUAAGAAUCCUAGAGUUUGUGGACCAUAAACCAGCAUCUUUUACAGUCGCAAGUUGCAAGAGUGGGCAUUACUAACGUCAACUUCAGAGGUGUACAUUGUCAAACUAGGGGAGUAUAGUCUUGGUUCAUCUUACAUGUAUUUUAUAGCUUCAACUGAUAGGUCCUUGCAAGUCAUUCUAUAAUGAAGUGUAACUGUAUAAACAGAAUAUUGUGGCAGAUUAACACAACAACAACAACAACAACAAAGCCUUUUCCCACUAAGUGGGGUCGGCUAUAUGAAUCCUAGAACGCCAUUGCGCUCGGUUUUGUGUCAUGUCAUCCGUUAGAUCCAAGUACUCUAAGUCUUUUCUUAGAGUCUCUUCCAAAGUUUUCCUAGGUCUUCCUCUACCCCUUCGGCUCUGAACCUCUGUCCCGUAGUCACAUCUUCGAACCGGAGUGUCAAUCGGCCUUCUUUGCACAUGUCCAAAUCACCGGAGCCGAUUUUCUCUCAUCUUUCCUACAAUUUCAGCUACUCCUACUUUACCUCGGAUAUCCUCAUUCCCAAUCUUAUCCUUUCUCGUGUGCCCACACAUCCCACGAAGCAUCCUCAUCUCCGCUACACCCAUUUUGUGUACGUGUUGAUGCUUCACCGCCCAACAUUCUGUGCCAUACAACAUCGCUGGCCUUAUUGCCGUCCUAUAAAAUUUUCCCUUGAGCUUCAGUGGCCUACGACGGUCACACAAACACGCCGGAUGCACUCUUACACUUCAUCCAUCCAGCUCGUAUUCUAUGGUUGAGAUCUCCAUCUAAUUCUCCGUUCUCUUGCAAGAUAGAUCCUAGGUAGCGAAAACGGUCGCUUUUUGUGAUCUUCGCUAGAUUGCUCCGGUCAUUAGUGUGGAUAAGUAUAUAAAUGGAUAGAGAUAGGAAAGCAAACACAAGAUGUACGUGGUUCACCCAGAUUGGCUACGUCCACGGAAUAGAAGAGUUCUCAUUAAUUGUGAAGGGUUUACACAAGUACAUAGGUUCAAGCUCUCCUUUAGUGAGUACAAGUGAAUGAUUUAGUACAAAUGACAUUAGGAAAUAUUGUGGGAGAAUGAUCUCGUAAUCACGAAACUUCUAAGUAUCGGAGUGUGGUGUCGUCUUGACUUGCCUUAUCUGUCUCAUAGGUAGAUGUGGCAUCUUCUCUGGAAGUACUUUUCCUCCAUCCAGGGGUGGUAUCUUUAACUGGUGGAGAUGCACAAGGUAAUGUAUCAAUUUCACUUGAAGCUUACUUGUAGUUUCAGGCUUGGUCAAGCGCGAUACAAACCAUGUAGUAGGAGUCCCCCAAGUCGCCGAGCUAGGGGGUCUGCUGAAAGAGGUGACAGACAAGGUAAGCAAUCAGAGCUCCGACUGAUUGUUCACCUUCUCCCCAUCUUGCAGCAGCAUGAAGGAUAAAGAGAAGAAAAAUGAGAAGAGAUGAUAUGAGAUACUUUUGCUUUUGAAGAAGUAACUUUCCACAGGCUUAUUCUUGAACUGAGCUGGAGGGUUUUCUGGUUUCCUCCAGAGUAUAAGGCCGACUGAAGAAUUUGAGGGUCAAAACAAGUCCAUCAAAUCUAGAGUACGUUCCACCCUGCUGAUAUGGGAUACUUUUGCUUUUGACAGAGUAAUGGAUGUAUCGGCACGUGUGCUGUUACGCUUGUCUCCACAUGCUUCCUUGUAUCCUUCGCACUUGCCCUAUCUGUUCCUCAAGCAGAUGCGGAAUCUUCCCUGGAAACAUAAGAUGUUGAAGAUGAGUACUCGAGAGCAAUGCCAGGUAAGUAAUCAGGUAAGGGGUUCCAGGCAGUCAGUUCCUGGCUGGAAGCUUGAUUCCAAGUGCUGACUGAUUGCUCUCUUUCUCCUUGUCUUGCAGGUAAAAACAAGGCCAAAGGAAAAGACAGGGAAAAAGCAUGAUAUGGGAUACUCUUGCUUUUAACCCUGAUGAUAUGAGAUAUUCUUGCUCUAGUAUAGCUUGUUUGCAGAGGUAUUAUCGGGGGGAAAGAAAGCUGAAUAUUUCGAAAGGCUUCGUUGGGAGUGCCCUCUCAGAUAUGAUGAAGGGUUGAGCAUUUUUGCAGGUCUGCCUGUCCGUUGGGGAUGGAGGUCGACAUAUAUAGGAGUCUCCCUAACAACAAGUAGUAAUGCUAUUCCUUUACCCUGCUUGGUCAUAGCACGGUAGUGGGAGCUGCCAGUUUCACAUGUUUUAACUCUGUCAGAGCACUUUGAAAAAGUGGUCUGUGGUAUCUGGCUCUCGAGAUUCGGAGAACGAUGCCUCUUCGAUUUUUGAGAAAGCAAUCAUGCUGGGGGUCUGGCUCUCGAGAUUCGGAGAGCAGUGUCUCUUCGAUUUUUGAGGAAGUAAUCAUGUUGGGAGUCUGGCUCUCGAGAUUCGGAGGGCGGUGCCUCUUCGAUUUUGGAGCAAGCAAUCUUGUUGGGAGUGUUGUCUCGAAUGUGAGUAAAGGUUGGGCAUGUUUGCUAGUCUACCUUGCCACGAAGCACAAAGGUUGACACACAGGGACUUUCCAAUUAUCCAGCAAUGGUACUGUUCCUUUACCCUCUCUUCGAUUUUGAGAAAGUAGUCAUGUUGGGAGUCUGGCUCUCGAGAUUCGGAGGACGGUGCCUCUUCGAUUUUGGAGCAAGCAAUCUUGUUGGGAGUGUUUUCUCGAAUGUGAGUAAAGGUUGGGCAUGUUUGCUAGUCUACCUUGCCACGAAGCACAGAGGUUGACACACAGGGACUUUCCAAUUAUCCAGCAGUGGUACUGUUCCUUUACCCUUGUGGGUAAUAAUAUGGUAGCUAGACCUUCAAAAUUUAUGUGUCUAAACUUUGUUAGUGCUGUUUCUUUGCUAUUCUUUUACCUUUCUUGGUCAGAGCGAUGUAGUGGGAGCUGCAAGCUUCACGUGCUCAACUUUGGCAGAGAACUUUGGCAAAGUUAUCUGUGGUACCCAUGAGCUAUUGUUGCGUGUGGGAAGUGGGUGAUUGAACAGUAAGAUUCAUGUGCUUUCUACUUCACCAGAAGUCUUCGACAGAAUGCCCAUAAUUUCUGCAAAGCUGAGUGUGCGUGUGACAGUGUGCUGACAAGGCUAGAAAAGUAGGUGCCUCUUCGAUUUCUGAGAUCGGCCCUCGUGGUCUCUGAGCAGCCCAGCUUUUGAGAAAGCGAGCGCCUCUUCGAUUGAUUCGGAGAACGAUGCCUCAUCGAUUUUUGAGAAAAGCAAUCAUGCUGGGGGUCUGGCUCUCGAAGAUUCGGGGAGCAGUGUCUCUUCGAUUUUUGAGAAAGUAAUCAUGUUGGGAGUCUGGCUCUCGAGAUUCGGAGGGCGGUGCCUCUUCGAUUUUGGAGCAAGCAAUCUUGUUGGGAGUGUUUUCUCGAAUGUGAGUAAAGGUUGGGCAUGUUUGCUAGUCUACCUUGCCACGAAGCACAGAGGUUGACACACACAGGGACUUUCCAAUUAUCCAGCAAUGGUACUGUUCCUUUACCCUCUCUUCGAUUUUUUAAGAAAGUAGUCAUGUUGGGAGUCUGGCUCUCGAGAUUCGGAGGACGGUGCCUCUUCGAUUUUGGAGCAAGCAAUCUUAUUGGGAGUGUUUUCUCGAAUGUGAGUAAAGGUUGGGCAUGUUUGCUAGUCUACCUUGCCACGAAGCACAGAGGUUGACACACAGGGACUUUCCAAUUAUCCAGCAGUGGUACUGUUCCUUUACCCUUGUGGGUAAUAAUAUGGUAGCUAGACCUUCAAAAAUUUAUGGGUCUAAACUUUGUUAGUGCUGUUUCUUUGCUAUUCUUUUACCCUUCUUGGUCAGAGCGAUGUAGUGGGAGCUGCAAGCUUCACGUGCUCAACUUUGGCAGAGAACUUUGGCAAAGUUAUCUGUGGUACCCAUGAGCUAUUGUUGCGUGUGGGAAGUGGGUGAUUGAACAGUAAGAUUCAUGUGUUUUCUACUUCCCCAGAAGUCUUCGACAGAAUGCCCAUAAUUUCCGCAAAGCUGAGUGUGCGUGUGACAGGUGCUGACAAGGCUGGAAAAAGUAGGUGCCUCUUCGAUUUCUGAGAUCGGCCCUCGUGGUCUCUGGGGAGCCCAGCUUUUGAGAAAGCGAGCGCCUCUUCGAUUUCUGAGAUCGGCCUUCGUGGUCUUUGAGCAGCCCAACUUUUGAGAAAGCAAACGCCUCUUCGAUUUCUGAGAUCAACCCUCGUGAUCUCUAAGCAGCCCAGCUUUUGAGAAAGCAAACGCCUCUUCGAUUUCUGAGCAGGCGCCUCUUCGAUUUCUGAAGCUCCGUCGAGUGCAGAUUUUUUAUAGGGGCUGGCAUUAAGUUUCCAAAGCACACUUGAAUCUCCACCAGUAGAAGCUUCAUUCUUGCACUUCUAAGAUCUUGAUUUGUCCGACCUCUUCUCUCUUCAACACCUUUGAAAAUGUCUGGCCCCUCCGACCGUCGUUUUGACUUGAACCUUGUUGAAGAGGCAGCCCCGCCUUCUCCAGACAACAUAUAUGGCGCCCAUCCUUCGUCUCCCCUACUGGUCCUCUUACCGUUGGGGAUUCCGUGAUGAAGAAUGAUAUGACCGCUGCGGUGGUGGCCAGGAACCUUCUCACUCCCAAAGAUAACAGACUACUUUUCCAAACGGUCUGAUGAGUUAGCUGUUAAGGAUUCGCUGGCUCUCAGUGUUCAGUGUGCAGGUUCUGUGUCUAAUAUGGCCCAACGCCUAUUUGCUCGAACCCGCCAAGUUGAAUCAUUGGCGGCUGAAGUGAUGAGUCUCAAACAGGAGAUUAGAGGGCUCAAGCAUGAGAAUAAACAGUUGCACCGGCUCGCACAUGACUAUGCUACAAACAUGAAGAGGAAGCUUGACCAGAUGAAGGAAACUGAUGGUCAGGUUUUACUUGAUCAUCAGAGAUUUGUGGGUUUGUUCCAAAGGCAUUUAUUGCCUUCGUCUUCUGGGGCUGUACCGCGUAAUGAAGCUCCAAAUGAUCAACCUCUGAUGCCUCCUCCUUCUAGGGUUCUGUCCAGUACUGAGGCUCCAAAUGAUCCCCCUCCGGUGCCUUCUCUUUCUGGGGCUCUACCGACUGCUGAGACUUCUCCUAAGCAACCUUUGUGAAGGCUCCCUCUUGUGUGUUUAUUUUGACUCAUGUAUAUGUACAUAUUUGUAGCUUAUCGGGGAUAUCAAUAAAUAAGCUUUCCUUCAUUUCAACGUAUUGUGUUAAAUACACCAAAGCCUUCUUCGCUAAGUUCUUUGAAUUUUCUUUUGUUGAAGCUUGUAUGUUGAAGCUUUCUGAGUGGAGCAUGUAGGUUGGGGUAGUGUUCCCUUAAUUUCCCGAGUGAGGAAAACUUCUCGGUUGGAGACUUGGAAAAUCCAAGUCACUGAGUGGGAUCGGCUAUAUGAAUCUUAGAACGCCAUUGUGCUCGAUCCUGUGUCAUGUCCUUCGUUAGAUCCAAGUACUACUCUAAGUCUUUUCUUAGAGUCUCUUCCAAAGUUUUCCUAGGUCUUCCUCUACCCCUUCGGCCCUGAACCUCUGUCCCAUAGUCGCAUCUUCUAAUCGGAGCGUCAGUAGGCCUUCUUUGCACAUGUCCAAACCACCGUAACCGAUUUUCUCUCAUCUUUCCUUCAAUUUCGGCUACUCCUACUUUACCCCGGAUAUCCUCAUUCCUAAUCUUAUCCUUUCUCGUGUGCCCACACAUCCAACGAAGCAUCCUCAUCUCCGCUACACCCAUUUUGUGUACGUGUUGAUGUUUCACCGCCCAACAUUCUGUGCCAUACAGCAUCGCCGGCCUUAUUGCCGUCCUAUAAAAUUUUCCCUUGAGCUUCAGUGGCAUACGGCGGUCACACAACACGCCGGAUGCACUCUUCCACUUCAUCCAUCCAGCUUGUAUUCUAUGGUUGAGAUCUCCAUCUAAUUUCUCCGUUCUUUUGCAAGAUAGAUCCUAGGUAACGAAAACGGUCGCUCUUUGGUAUUUCUUGAUCUCCGAUCCUCACCCCUAACUCGUUUUGGCCUCCAUUUGCACUGAACUUGCACUCCAUAUAUUCUGUCUUUGAUCGGCUUAGGCGAAGACCUUUAGAUUCCAACACUUCUCUCCAAAGGUUAAGCUUUGCAUUUACCCCUUCCUGAGUUUCAUCUAUCAACACUAUAUCGUCUGCGAAAAGCAUACACCAAGGAAUAUCAUCUUGAAUAUGUCCUGUUAACUCAUCCAUUACCAACGCAAAAAGGUAAGGACUUAAGGAUGAGCCUUGAUGUAAUCCUACAGUUAUGGGAAAGCUUUCGGUUUGUCCUUCAUGAGUUCUUACGGCAGUCUUUGCUCCUUCAUACAUAUCCUUUAUAGCUUGGAUAUAUGCUACUCGUACUCCUUUCUUCUCUAAAAUCCUCCAAAGAAUGUCUCUUGGGACCCUAUCAUACGCUUUUUCCAAAUCUAUAAAGACCAUGUGUAAAUCCUUUUUCCCAUCUCUAUAUCUUUCCAUCAAUCUUCGUAAGAGAUAGAUUGCCUCCAUGGUUGAGCGCCCUGGCAUGAACCCGAAUUGGUUGUCCGAAACCCGUGUCUCUCUUGCCUCAAUCUAUGCUCAAUGACUCUCUCCCAGAGCUUCUUCAUUGUAUGACUCAUUAGCUUAAUACCCCUAUAGUUCAUGCAAUUUUGUACGUCGCCCUUAUUCUUGUAGAUAGGCACCAAAGUGCUCGUUCGCCACUCAUUUGGCAUCUUCUUCGUUUUCAAAAUCCUAUUGAAAAGGUCAGUGAGCCAUGUUAUACCUGUCUCUCCCAAAAGUUUCCACACUUCGAUUGGUAUAUCGUCUGGGCCUAUUGCUUUUUUAUGCUUCAUCUUCUUCAAAGCUACAAACCACUUCUUCCUUCCGGAUUCGACGAUAAAAAGAGUAGUUUCUACACUCUUCUGAGUUACUCAACUCCCCUAAAGAAGCACUCAUUUCAUGUCCUUCAUUGAAAAGAUUAUGAAAAUAACCUCUCCAUCUGUCUUUAACCGCGUUCUCUGUAGCAAGAACCUUUCCAUCCUCAUCCUUGAUGCACCUCACUUGGUUUAGGUCCCUUGUCUUCUUUUCCCUUGCUCUAGAUAGUUUAUAGAUAUCCAACUCUCCUUCUUUGGUAUCUAGUCGUUUAUACAUAUCGUCGUAAGCCGCUAACUUAGCUUCUCUGACAGCUUUCUUCGCCUCUUGCUUCGCUUUUCUAUACCUUUCACCAUUUUCAUCGGUCCUCUCCUUGUAUAAGGCUUUACAACAUUCCUUCUUAGCCUUCACCUUUGUUUGUACCUCCUCAUUCCACCACCAAGAUUCCUUUUGGUGUGGGGCAAAGCCCUUGGACUCUCCUAAUACCUCUUUUGCUACUUUUCGGAUACAACUAGCCAUGGAAUCCCACAUUUGGCUAGCUUCCCCCUCUCUAUCCCACACACAUUGGGUGAUUACCUUCUCUUUGAAAAUGGCUUGUUUUUUCUUCUUUUAGAUUCCACCAUCUAGUCCUUGGGCACUUCCAAGUCUUGUUCUUUUGUCUUACUCUUUUGAUAUGUACAUCCAUCACCAACAAGCGAUGUUGAUUAGCCACGCUCUCUCCUGGUAUAACUUUGCAAUCCUUACAAGUUAUACGAUCCCCUUUCCUCAUUAGAAGAAAAUCUAUUUGUGUUUUUGACGACCCACUCUUGUAGGUGAUCACAUGUUCUUCUCUCUUCUUAAAGAAGGUGUUGGCUAAGAAGAGAUCAUAUGCCAUUGCAAAAUCCAAGAUAGCUUCCCCAUCCUCGUUUCUCUCCCCAAAACCAUGGCCACCAUGAAAACCUCCAUAGUUGCCUGUCUCCCUGCCCACGUGUCCAUUUAAAUCUCUCCUCCUAUAAAUAACUUCUCCGUUUGAGCAAUUCCUUGCACCAAGUCUCCAAGAUCUUCCCAAAAUUUCUCCUUCGAACUCGUAUCCAACCCUACUUGAGGUGCGUACGCACUAAUCACAUUGAUAAGUUCUUGUCCUAUUACAAUCUUGAUUGCCAUGAUUCUAUCUCCUACCCUCUUGACAUCUACAACAUCUUGUACCAAGGUCUUGUCCAUGAUGAUGCCAACACCGUUUCUCGUUCUAUUUGUGCCCGAAUACCAAAGUUUAAACCCUGAGUUUUCUAGAUCCUUUGCCUUACUACCAACCCACUUAGUUUCUUGUAGGCACAUAAUAUUUAUCCUUCUCCUCACCAUAACUUCCACUACUUCCAUAGAUUCAAGACGCUUCCAACUUUAUGGUAGGUCCAUCUGUAGAAAUUGACAAUGAAAUAGGGUUUAUGCAUUGAUAUCACAUUUUCACAUGUUUACAUAGAGAAGAAGCACAUCCUCUAAUUUCCAUAUCAACCAGAUGAAAUGUUUUCCUUUCAAUGUAGUAGUCAUACUACUUCAACAGCUUUGUGAUGUUACUAUGUUUGUACCUUGCUUUCCGGAUUCUCAUGCUUGCGUUCGUAGUAACUAUUCUUUUCGUUGCAAUUUUAUGAUUAUAUCCUUUAAUUAUUUUUCCCCAAAGUUUAUUUUUCUGUUUCUCUCGGGCUAGGGAACCAAAGGUUUUAACCUGCAUUGCUUGUGAGGAAGAUGCCUGGCUUCACUUAAUUGGUUGCCAACUACAAAGGAAAUAGAUGAAUCGUUCGAAUUUUAUCGGAUGUCCCCAAAGAAACUAUGUUGGAAAUAUUUGGGGAGUUUUGAGACCUUGAGGAACUUCAUAUGCAUUCUGUUGUUUGGAUCCCUUUACCACUUAAGGGUCAUUUUAUCUUGAAUUUUAUUUUUAACGUCUUGCUUUGCCUGCCACUGUUCAGUCUGUCAAAAAAUAUGUUAAAUUUGCUGAUGUCUUGUGUGAGAAAUUCUGGGUCCGGCAAAGGACCACGCUUCCGUGCGGAUCCAUACACAUAAGACACCUCCUACAACAUCCCCUGAUUUGUCAUCUUACCUUGGCCCACUUUUUGGUUCCAACCCCUUUCACAUGUCUCUAGUUCUGGGUGCCGAGUAGAAGACCUUCUCCUCAUGGCCACAUUUUAGCAAAAAAAUUGAACCUCAACGCACCACAUCAUUAAAUUUAAUGAAUCUAUUACAAUUUAGAGGUGAAGGGUAAAGUGAAACACAAGAAUUGAAUGUUAAGAGAUAAGUCGUCUCAAAAUGACUUUUAAGGAGCAAAUUGGUGCUUGAAACAUCUAUAGGCAAGCAUAGCGGUAUAAGUUUUUCUCUCGUAAAGUGAACAUCACAUGUGCUUCAUCAUCAAAUCAAACAGAUUUUAGUCGUAUUUGAUGGUGGAGAGAAAAAUGUAGCACAAACAGUUAAUUUCAUAGGCAAAUUAGGUCAAAAUGACUAUUAAGGAGGAAAGAGGGAUUUCAAACGUCUAUUGGAAAAUAUUGCAGUAGUUACUAACUUUUAUGAAAGAGUUUUGAAGAAUCUGGGAAUCCAACUCUUUCGUUUGAUCUAACUUCCGACACACAAAACGGUGCAAUAUGAUAUCCAUCCGUCACAACCUUAGGCAAACUAGCUAGUUUGGUCUUGUCCAAAAUGUCUUUCCCUUGUGGGAAAAUUGUGUUGCAACGAAUCAACAUCUUCUCACCUCAAAUGUUGUCAAGAGACAUCGUAGCUAAUGAAAACCUUCAAUAUCGUCAAUCACGUACGAUUUUAAGGGGUUUCAUUGUUACAAUACCUCUUACACCAUUUCAAGUUCGCAGAGUGCCAAUGGGCAUCAUUUUCUCACAUGGGAAAUAUAUUUUGGAAAAAAUUCACGUUGGAAGAGAGUAGGCAAUGCAGUACAAAUGCUAACAUAAAUUUGUAUCAUUUAUUUGUACCAUAAUUUGUAUAAUUUAUCUAAUAAAAAUAUGAUCCACGUGUUGAUGGACCUUACCUCUAUUAAAUGGUAAGUGUAGCACUACUUUGUUUUUUCUCCUUGGUUGUCCUCCCUUCUUUUCUUUUUUCCUUCUCCCUCCAAUUUUUCCCGUUGCUUGUAGAGCAUCCUAGCUCUCUCUCUUUUCUUUUUCUUUUUCUUUUUCUUUUUCCUUUUUCCUUUAAAAAAAAAUAGCCAGACCAAGUUUCCUUCUCCCUCAAGUUUUUGCCGUUCCUUGUAGAGCAUCCUACCUGUUGAUGCACAAAAACAACGAGGACUUUGGUACAACAUAAAGUGUUAAGUUUGUGACCUUCUCUAGAUUGCUUCGGUCAUUAGUGUGGAUAAGUAAGUAAAUGGAUAAGGACAGGGAAGCAAACACAAGAUGUAUGUGGUUCACCCAGAUUGGCUACAUCCAUGGAGUAGAUGAGUUCUUAUUAAUUGUGAAGGGUUUACACAAGUACAUAGGUUCAAGAUCUCUUUUAGUGAGUACUAGUGAAUGAUUUAGUACAAAUGACAUUAGAAAAUAUUGUGAGAGAAUGAUCUCUAUUUAUAGAAGAGAAUUUCUAGUUUCAUUCUGACAUUGACAUGUGUCGUGUUGUGAUUGGCUUCUGAUGUUAACACAUGUCGCGUUAUGAUUGGCUUCUGAUGUUGACAUGUGGCGCGCUGUGAUUGGCCUCCUGGUUGGAGGGAAACGCUUCUGGGUCCUUGACGGUAUAACGUUGACCAGUGCUCAGUAGUUUCGGGAUUAGUCAAGUAUGGUAUAAACAGUGCUCCCCUAAGUUCCCGAGUGAGGGAAGCUCCUCGGUUGGGGACUUGCAAGAUCUAAGCCAUUGAGUAAUCACGAAACUUCUAAGUACCGAAGUGUGAUAUCAUUUUCACUUGCCUUAUCUAUCUUAUAUGUAGAUGUGGCAUCUUCUCUGGAAGUACUUUUCCUUCAUCUAGGGGUGGUAUCUUUAACCGAUGAAGAUGCACAAGGUAAUAUAUCAAUUUCACUUGAAGCUUACUUGUAGUUUCGGGCUUGGUCAAGUGCGAUACAAACCCUAUUGUAGGAGUCCCCCAAGUCGCCGAGCUAGGAGAUUUGCCGAAGGAGGUAAUAGACAAGGUAAGCAAUCAAACUUCCAAGCAAGCAACCUGGAUUGAAGGUUCGACUUCGGCUUCUGGUUGAUUAUUCUCAUUCUCCUUGUGUCGUAAACAGCAACAAGGAUAAGGAAAAGCAAAUGGAGAAGAGAUGAUAUUAUAUACUUUUGCUUUUGAAGAAGUAACUUUCCACAUGCUUAUUCUUGAACAUGGCUGGAAGGUUUUCUGGUUUCCUUUAGAGUAUAAGGCCGACUCAAGAAUUUAAGGGUCAAAACAAGUCCAUUAAAUCUAGAGUACGUUCGACCCUGAUGAUAUGGGAUACUUUUGCUGUUGACAAAGUAGUGGAUGUAUCGGCACGUGUUUUGUUACGUUUGUCUCCACAUGCUUCCUUGUAUCCUUCUCACUUGCCCUAUCUGUUCCUCAAGCAGAUGUAUCAGGCAAAGGGUUCCAGGCAGUCAGUUCCUGACUGGAAGCUUGAUUCCAAGUGCUGACUGAUUGCUUUCUUUCUCCUUGUCUUGCAAGUAAGAACAAGGCUAAAGGAAAAGACAGGGAAAAAGUAUGAUAUGAGAUACUCUUGCUUUUAACCCUGAUGAUAUGAGAUAUUCUUGCUCUGGUGUGGCUUGUUUGCAGAGGUAUUAUCGGGAGGAAAAGAAGCUGAGUAUUUCGAGAGACUCUGUUGAGAGUACCCUCCCGAAUGUGAAGAAAAGUUAAGCAUUUUUUUUAUUUGUAGGUCUGCCUGGCUGUGGAGGACAGAGGUCGACAUAUAUAGGAGUCUCCAUAACAAGUAGUAGUGCUAUUCCUUUACCAUUCUUGGUCAUAACAAUGUAGUGGGAGCUGCAAGCUUCAUGUGUUUUAACUUUGUCAGAGCACUUUGAAAAAGUGGUAUGUGGUAUCUGGAAAGCUGAUGUUGCGUGUGAAGAUUGCAGACAAGCUUUAUCCAAGGAAAUUUGGCUCUCGAAGUUUGGAGAGCGGUGCCUCUUCGGUUUUCGAACAGGCAAUCCUGUCGGGGAUUUGGCUCUUGAGAUUCAGAGAACGGUGCCUCGGAGACCUCCCCAACGUGGUUAACACCCCAUAAGGGACAGUUUCUUCCGUUAUCUAUAACCCAAUUUUCCAUUUGAACCUCCUUCCACGGUCGCCACUAUUCAGGGAGUUGCUUCAGUCUCUACCGCAUGGGUACACCUUGCCUGGUUCAGGAAACGGGUUGCUGCUCAGUAGCGGCGACAAUGAGAGAGAUGAGCGGAUGAGGGGUUUUGUAUGACCCAGAUGCAGAUGAAAGUCUUGGGAGGUAGUUUGAUAAUGGAGUUUUGGAGUUCUCGAGAAGAAAAGGUGUGAGAAAGAGAGGAGAGAGAGCACUUGUUGUUGUUAUUCUAAGGACGACUCAGUUGCCCAGUACCUGGCGUCUCGUCUCCAACGGUUUCAAACACCCACACAGAGACCCACAAGAUCGAAUGCUUCCACUACCGAUUCUCUUCGACUUCUUCACCACCUCCUCCAGACGCUUCGUAUUGGCACCACUCUCUCUCUCACCACUAGCGUGCUCCGGACGCACCAACUCUAGAAAGCACCAUGUUUUCCAAGGCAGCAUUUGGCUGCUCCGACGCAGAGAUUCCCCACUCCUCCAUUGCUUUUGUCGGUAAAAGCAGAAAGGGAAACAGAGAACUUGAGUGCCAUCUGCACUGUGCAAAGUAAAAGCAAAAGUAAAACAGAAAACGAAAAAAAAAAAGCAAAGCAAAAAACAAAAGCAAAAGCAAAAGCAACGCACCAACGAUCUUUGUUUUUGUAUGAUGUAAUUUAUUUUUCUUAUCUUUCGGAGACAUCUAUAUAAACUCCAUCAGAGGGUAAUAAUAUAAAAAAAAAAAGGCAAGGCCCAAAAUAAAUGGGCUGGAAUGUUGUGUGGAGAGCGAAGGCCCAUAUGCGCAAAAGAGCCAGGCCUUCAAUUAUCACCAACCAGGCGACCAAAAAUACGCCCAGUACUACAAAAAAUUAUUCGGCAACCUGCCGCUAUUACCACCAACCAGGUGAUCAAAAGUAUGCCUAGUACUCCAAAAUUAUUCGGCAAUCCGCCGCUAUUAUCACCAACUAGGUGAUUAAAUGUACAACCCAUACUUUAAUAUCAUUUGGCAACUAGCCAUUCAUGCCACCAACCAGGUGAUGAAAUGUACAACCCGUACUCUCAUUCAUACCACCAACCAGGUGAUCAAAAGUACGCUCAGUACUCAUAAUUAUACAUGAGCAUUACUCAUGUCAUUCAUACAUAAACAUUCAUAAGCAUCACUCAUGACAAUCAUACAUAAAAUUCAUGACCAUCAUUCAUGAGCAUCACUCAUGACAACAUCCAUGAGCACCACUCAUGUUAAUCAACAUAAACAUUCAUGAGCAUCACUCAUGUCAAUCAGCUUCAAAAACUUCAUUUACAGAGCUCUAGCUUCAAAGCUUCAUUUACAGAGCUCUAGCUUCAAAAGCUUCAUUUACAAAAGCUCUAGCUUCAAAAGCUUCAUUUACAAAGCUCUAGCUUCAAAAGCUUCAUUUACAGAGCUCUAGCUUCAAAAGCUUCAUUUACAAAAGCUACAGCUUCGAAAGCUUCAUUUAUAGAGCUUUAGCUUCAAAGCUUCACUUGCAAAGCUUCACCUACAAAGCUUCAGUGCAGGGUAUACAAAUACCGCCUCCGAACAACCGCCACUUCGGCCCAUACAUGUAUUCAAUUUGAAGUCUCCAGCCAACAGACUCUAUUGACCGAAGACUUGGGGGACUACAUUAUGUACCAUAUAUUGGGCCUCAACUGGGCAUCAUGAAAAAUACUUGGGGGACUCUAGCCCAUUAUUUAUGUAUUAAGGAGCGAUCCCUUAUUUUAUAAAAAGGACUCCCUCACCAUCAUUAGAGAGCAUUAACUCUAGCCCAUUAUUUAUGUAUUGAGGAGCGAUCCCUUAUUUUAUAAAAGGGACUCCCUCACCAUCAUUAGAGCAACAUCAAAUCUAGCCCAUUAUUUAUGUAUUGAGGAGCGAGCCCUUAUUCUAUAAAAGGGACUCCCUCACCAUCAUUAGAGAGCAUCGCCGCCUACUGAGCAACCGCUUCGCCGCGAACAUCAGCUCUAGCCCAUUAUUCAUGUAUUGAGGAGCGAACCCUUAUUUUAUAAAAGGGGCUCCCUCAUCUUCAACGCUACAAGCCGAGCUAACCAAGGCAACAUAAGCCACGAGCCUCGCAGCCUCGCAGCAUGUGCUACUUCUAGUUGAGCAUCAUUUCAGAUUGAGCACCGCCUCAUAUCGAACAUCAGUUCAAGACAACAUCUAGUUAUUUCGGCCCACACAUGAACUGAAUUUCAAGUCUCCAGCCAAAAGACUCUUGAUUGAAGACUUGGGGGACUACUGUUUAUACCAUAUUUAGGGCCUCGUAUUUAGAUCUCGUACAAAUACUCGGGGGACUUAAAUGUAAUUAUGUGAUAAAGGAAGGGGCAAAUAUGUAAUAAGUGAUGAGUCCUUAUUCUAUAAAAGGACCCCUCACCCUCACAAUGAGGGGAGACCAUUUUUAGGCCAUAGGAAGAGUUCUCUCACCCUCAGAAGCUCUCUCCCUCACUCCCCUCACUUCUCAGAGAAAUACAAUAAUUAGUGUGGAUGUAACCCAAACCUUGGGGUGAACCACGAUACAUCUUGUGUUAUUUACAUUUCUUGCAGAUUCACGGUCGGAUUUACGUUGUUCCAAGACCUCCGGUUUUGUGCAUCAACACUACCUUUCCCUAUUCUUUUUCUUCAUUUAUUUAUCGACGAAAAACAAUGAUGGUAUCACAUAGUUGAGUCAAGUAAUUAAAACACAAAUUAAGGUAUCACACUUCUAGUUUCUCUCUUAGAGGAUUCAACCCCUUUACUUGACAUUCAACUCCUAGCCUACUUAUUCUCCAUCAUGAAGUGGUUGUAGUUAACAUAUGUACUUUGUUGAAACUUCAAGAAGCUCCUCAUUCGGAUCUUUGAUAGCUCAAAGGAUCUUGUACGCAUCAUAACUUAGUAAAACUGAGUUACGAUGAACUCUGAUGAACCAGUUCCAAAAAAGGAGAGCUCCGAUGACGAUUUAAUCAACCUUGGAAGGUUUCAUAUUUCUCUUAAUAUCUCUAAUAUUUUAUUUUUCUUUUAAAAUUAAAACAAAGGAUUUUUGCAUCAGAUCAAUGUGGUUGUUCGACAUAGGAAUAAACAAAUCGAAUAAAUGAAUUUCAUGUUUAAUUCUUGUGUAUUAAUUUUUCAGCUUGUCAGGUGAGCAAAUUUUAGAGCUUGCGAAAGGGAGGUAUGGCAAGAGAGAUGGAGGAGAUAGAUCAAUAAAAUGCGAUAUAGAUUCAAUAAAACGUGGUAUACAUUCUAUAUGGAUUGGGAUAACCAGUUUGUUCGUCAUCAUGAUUUUUUUUGGCCCGAUGCUUGUGGACCCUUUGUUCUUGUACGUUCCCAUCAUCAAUGAAAAUAUAAAGUGUCUCACAUUGGACGAAAAAUUAAAGAAGAUAGUUAUUGUUUUGAGAGCAUUUACAGAUCUCCCUUAUCUACUUAAAAUCAUCGAUCAUGUGCUGCGUCCGUGGUGCACAUUGAGCUUACUGGAAGAUUUCCUUGAUUUUGCGGAAUUGGGAAUCCCAGUCUCCCCAAUACAAAACAUUUUAGCUGUUCUUCCUAUUCCACAAGUAAGCCAAUUACUUUUAUGGAGUAAAUUAUUUUUCGUAAUCUCUUAAGUCGUAUAUUAGGAAUUAGGAUAAUUUGAUUUUGCUGAUUUUGUCACACAACACUUAAGUUUAACUAAUUUGUGUACAGAUCGUAAUUCUAAUUUUCCUUCCGACAACGAGGAACUCAAAAUCUUUGAAUAUAAUGAAGUUUUUGAACUCACUUUUUGUAUUGCAAUAUGUUGCACGAGCUUAUCCAAUGUAUAGACUAUGUACGGUCUUUAACAAGAAAGCACGUGAAACUAGCAAACAACUUGCAAAGUACAAGCGAAUAUGGAUUCCAGGUGUCUUAAAUUUCAUCAUGUACAUCCUUGCUAGCCAUGUAAGUUAUUGUCUUGUCUUAGUUUAUUUUAACUGCUCCCUAAAGUUGCUUGUAAAUAUCGUUGAGUUACAAAUGUAGUUCUUGGUUUGUUAGGUCCUUGGGGCAUUUUGGUACUUUUUUUCUGUUCAGCGAGAGAUAGAUUGUUGGAUCUCUACUUGUCGAAGUGAAAAUGGAUGCAACUUAAGUACUUUACAAUGUGAUAAUACUACGUUCAGAAACGUUACAGUUCUAAAUGAUUUAUGUCCAACAAAUCCACCAAAUCCAAUAGCAUACGAUUUUGGCAUAUUCGUUGACACUCUCCAGUCUGGCAUAUUGGGAACAACAAAUUUUCCUCAAAAACUCUUGAUGUGUUUCUCAUGGGGAUUUCGAAAUCUAAGGUUUGUCCUACAUAAGUAUUUUUAUUCUUAGAUAUUGCUUCAUGCACUUGGGUUUUUUACAAUACGCCGGUACCGGUGUUUGACUAUCAAGAUUCAGUCACGCAAGCCGUCCAAUGAGUUGUCCCUUUUCAAAUAUUGUUUUAAUAUAUUGCUACAAUGAAUUCUGCAGUUCUUUUGCUUCAAACCUCAACUCUAGUACCUAUGCAUGGGAAAGCGUCUUUGUAAUUUUUAUUUCGAUCAGUGGCCUGGUACUAUUCAUGUAUCUGCUUGGACAUGUGCAGGUCUGUGAUGAAUUAUGUAUUGUAUAUCUGGUUUUCUUUUGAGUAGUUUCUACAUAUAUGCAUGUAAAUUUCAGGAUUUAAUAAACUCAAUGUCAAACCUCCAUGUUGUGGUGUAGACAUUUAUGCAGGCAAUUAGCAAAACAUCUCAGAUACGGCAGAGGGUGGGAGUCAUAUUUCCACAAAUAGGGUUCAUGGUAUCUGAAUAUGGUCUUAAAGAGGGGGUAGAAUAUGCGAUUUGGAAAUUGGUAAGAGAAGCACUUGAAGAGGACGAAGAUAAACCUGCGGAGAAUAUCUUCUCGUUACUUCCUUUGGAACUUAAGGAACAUAUGAAGCGGCAUCUCUUCUUGGCUACACUACGGAAAGUAAUGUCCUAUCUCUCUCAAUUAUUCGUAGCUCUAUAUAGUGUUGUAUAAACUUGUGGCACCAGAUGGUUUUUCGAAUAAUCUAGUUUACGAACUCAAGCUAUUAUAUAGAUAGGAGCAUGAACUCCCCUUUGAGUUCUUUUGGCGUGCUUUCGUGAGUGUACUUCUGAAUUCUUAAGUUUCUAAUAACAUGAUGUUGCUUAGAUGAUUAUCAUCCGUCCUAGUAACAUGAUGUUGCUUAUUGGAUCUUAUCGAUGUAUUCUUAAGUUUCUAAUUACAUGUAUGAAUUAACCCCAGUUGCCAGGGCUUGAAAACAAAGACAGACGAGUGUUGGAUGAAAUUAUGAAGAAUCUUGAGCCAGUUAACUAUUCUGAUGGUAGCUAUAUUAUUCGAGAGGGGGAGCCACUGGAUAGGAUGCUCUUCAUCACGCAGGGCAUUGCACUUGCUUACAAGACUAGUACUACACAUCUUGAGAAAGGUGAUGUUUAUGGGAAAGAACUUAUAGGUUGGGCGGCGACAUCUACCCCAUUUUCCGGCUUACCUAUCUCAGACCAAACUGUCAAGUCCCACGAAAAAGUUGAAGUCUUUGCAAUCAGGGCUGCAACAUUAAAACGUAUUGUCUCUGACUUCUCGACGCAUUUCAACAGAGAGGAUAUUAUUAUGGUGGAAAUAAACUGAUCAUGGAAUUUCAUAGGGAAUUUCUUAGUUAUCUGUAACUAGUAACUAUAUUUUUUACUCAAAAUAACUAUAUAUUCAGCUAUUCAACAUUAGCAAAACACAAGAAUACCUGUCAGGUUCAAUUGUACCACAAUUGUAAUAGAGAAAGCUCUUUAUGUGAUUUUCAAUGGUCGUUACAGUCAUAAUACGAAUCAUGGAAUCGAACGAGAAGGAGUCCGUUUCCUUUCCUACUUGCAUUGAACAGAUUCAAACAGGAAUCCAACAAUAUAUGUACAUACAAAUUGUUAGGUACUCCACCCCUACAUCUUCUAAUUACUUUCCAGAAUGGGUUUUUACGGUACAAGGCACGGAUAUUGUUAAGCCCUUCCUCUCCUUGGCGCACCAAGCUUGUCGAAGCUUAUCAUUCCAUACCUGCUGCAGGUCAUCAAGGUGUGAUUAAAACCUACCACAAGCUUAAGAAGGACUUUUAUUGGCCGAGUAUGAAGAAUGAUGUCAAACUCUUCGUUUCGGAGUGUCACAUCUGCCAACAACAUAAGUAUGAAACAGUGGCACCUCCUGGAAAACUGAUGCCUCUUCCAAUUCCUGAACGAAUUUGGGCUGAUAUAAGCAUGGACUUUAUCGUCGGACUUCCUAAUUGCAAGGGUAAGACUGUUAUCAUGGUGGUGGUUGAUCGGCUGUCCAAAUAUAGUCAUUUUGUUCCUAUGGCACAUCCAUAUACAGCGGCUAGUGUAGCACAGCUUUUUCUUGAGCAUAUUUUCAAACUCCAUGGCAUGCCCAACUCUAUAGUCAGUGACCGUGAUCCGAUCUUCAUAAGCGCCUUCUGGAAAGAGUUAUUCAAACUGCACAAAUGCAAAAUGCCAAGUUGUGUAUAUGAGUUCGGGCUACCAUCCUCCCUCAAACUGACGGUCAAACGGUCAAACUGAGGUUAUGAACCGCUGCUUGGAAACCUACCUGCGCUGUUUUGUUGGAGGUCAACCUAAAAAAUGGGUACAAUGGUUAUCGUGGGCCGAAUGGUGUUUCAAUACCUCAUACCACACUUCUUCUAAGUUCACACCCUUCGAAUUAGUGUAUGGUUAUUCCCCACCUCAUAUCACACCGUAUGAACCUGGUUCUACAAAGUUCGCUUCUGUGGAGCAAUGUUUGGUUGAGAGGGACAAGGUUUUGGAGAUUCUGAAAAGGAACCUUGAAUUAGCUCAGACAAGGAUGAAGUCACAAGCUGAUCAAAAGAGAUUGGAACGGAGUUUUGCAGUUGGCGAUAUGGUUUAUAUAAAACUUAUUCCUUAUCAACUCCAAUCCUUGGCUGCACACAGUUAUCAUAAACUGUUACCCAGGUUCUAUGGUCCCUAUAAGGUUCUCAGCCGAGUAGGUGAUGUGGCUUACAAACUUGAACUUCCUGCCAUGUCUAAAGUCCACCUUGUUUUUCAUGUCAGCAGUCUUAAGAAGCACUUAGGGCCGAAUGUGGUAGCCAACAACCUGUUGCCCCAAGUUACAGAAGAUGGUCUUCAACAGUUGGUUCCUGCCUCCAUUCUUUCCAGGCGCAUGUAUAAGAAGGGUAAUUCUGCCGGCGUUCAAUUGCUUGUUCAGUGGCAGGAUCAAGAUGCCAGUUCUGCAACAUGGGAGGACUUUGAAGACUUCCAAGCUCGAUUCCCUGCUUUCUCUCUUUAACCUUGUGGACAAGGUUUUUUCGAAGGCGGGAGUAAAUGUUAUGAUCUUGCAAUUGGCCUAUUAGUGAAUCCUUGGAUCACUAUGAAGUAGUAGUUAAAUAAUGGGGGUCAGAUUGUAUUAGAGUAAGGAUUAGAUUGUAAUAGUCUUGUUAAUUGUGGGUUUUAGUUUUAAUUGAGUUGUUGUUAUGCCAGAUGGCACUCUCGCGAAUGUAAGGGCUGGCUUGUGGGUUAAAAGCCUCAGCUAGUGGAUUGAAAAGCAUAUAUGAAAAACAAUUAGAAAUUUCCUUUUCUUGCUGUGCAAUUCCUCUCCUCAGUACCCACCAUUACCACACAGUCAAGGUUGUAGCUAGGUAUUGGCUUGGGUUUUAUCACAAAUGACAAUACAUAUGCCAAAGUCAGAAACAACUGAUCAGAUGCGAAACAUUAAGCAAUUACUAAACAAGAUCGUAAGUGCCAACUAACAACACAUCAACGCGGAAAGUUAUCCACAAUAUCGACCGAAAAAAUCCCUAAUUAUAGUCCAUUAAAACCAGCAUUCUAAUCUAAAUUUCUACACAUAAAGAAAAAGAAAGCGCUGUGGUCCUGUAAUUUGUUGCUAUGCAGCGUGGGCUAGCUGAUUCGAAAUAUUCACCAGUAGCAACCAAAUAAAAACAUGGUAUUCAAUUUUUCCGGAUUUUCUCGGAAUCCAAACGGAGGAUAAGAAAAGGGGAGUUAGGGCAGAGGACAAACUCACGAGCUGUCUGACGCGGAGAGCCUAGAGAAAUUUCCGAGCUAUGAUCGUAGCCAUGGCCGGUGGGCUGAGUCGAUGGGUCUUCGUCGACGCGAGUGGGUUCGAUUUGGGGACGUGAGCAGGCCAGUGCCAAUCCUACAUUUUCUCCCCUUCUGUCGAUAUGGGGCUCUGUGCAAGUGACCCCUCUCUGGAGUAGUAGGAUUAUUUUUUCUCUUUUUUUUUUCCCUCCCCUUCAUUUCUCUUCUAUUUGAACGCUCACGGUUAAAUCACAUCAACAUCUUAUAUUAAUUUUUUUAUAGUAAAAGAAAGACAAAAUAAGAGAAUGUAAGAUGAGAGGAUAUAAGUGGAUGGAAAGAGGAGGGGAGAUAAUCCUAAUCUGCCCUCCCUUCUCUCAUUUUUUUUUUCUUCUAAAAAAUAUCAUUCUUACCAACUAUUUGUACCAUCAUUUGUACAAUCUGUUUAAUAAGAAUGGAAUCUACUUCCGUUUAAUAGACCUUAUCUCUAUUAAAUGAUAAGUGCAACACUACUUUUUUUUUUUCCUUCUUCUCUUUGGUUGUCCAUUAGGAAUUUUAGAAAAACUAGAGAAUUUAAGGUCAUCUCUAAUCGAUCAGGCCAUAGGGCUACUGUAGACAUUGAAAUUUCGGUGGCAUAAAUGUUAGCCAUUGCAUUAAGAUUACAUUUGUAAACAUUUAAAUUUUGGUGAAAUAAAUGUUGACCAUUGUAUUAAAAUUACAACCUUCAUUCACUUCACCUACAUCAUACACUAAGUUCACCUACAACUUCCACCCAAGUUCACCUACAACAUCCACCAAGUUUUACCUACAAACAUCCACCAAGUUUCACCUACAACAUCCACCAAAAUUCACCUACAACUUCCACCAAAACAAAUGGAUGGUGGUGAUUCAUUCCCAAAGCCUAUAAAUAGGCUCCUCCAUCAAAGAAUCAAGGAGAGGAUUUUACAUACAUUUUCUCUACUCCCAAAUUGGAAGAGAAUUCACACCACACCAAAGCCUUGAAGCCUUGAAACUCUAAAGCUUUCAAGCAAAUUCCGAAGAAUCAAGAAAGCCCUCUUCGUUCUUCGUCAAAAUCCUCCUUCAAGAUCAAGCCCCAACGGCCCUUGAAGAAACUUCCACUAAUUCAAGAUCAAGCCCCGACGGCCCUCGAAGAAAGUGUUCAUCAUUCAUCAUCCGUUCAUCCUAAAGAUCAAGCCCCGACGGCCUUUUGGAUCAACAACAACAAAUCUACCCAUUACAAAGAUAGAAUCAGAGGCUAAAUUUGUAGAAGAGAUUGUAACCCUAAAUCAUUAAUACAAAUAUUAUUUUGUACACCUUGUUCUUGUUUCAGGAAUUUCCGUGUUUACACAUCCAUUGCGGAUAUAUCAAGCAUGAUCACUCCUAGAAUGUGUAUGGUGCCCCAUUGCAGAUUAACCAAGCAAGAUCAUUUCAUAUAAUACUAAACAGUGAUCACCCUUCGCAAAUACACGAAGCAUGGUCUCCCAAUACGGAUUAACCAAGCAAGACUAUGCAUGCAUCUAAUAACUUAGGUAGAGAUCACUCAUUAUUUAUAUACUAAGCAUGAUCCUCCUUCGAAUGCGGGGUCCCGCAAUACAGAUUAACCAAGAAGGACCAUAAACAUGCAUCUAAUAGUUUGAUUUUCUGAUGCGGAUUAAUCAAGCUAGAUCACCCAUGUACCACACUGCUACAUGGUGCAGUCACAUCAUCACACAUUACCCAUCACACUCAACAUGAUUUACAUAGUAAACAUAUUCUCUAUCACUGCCAUGUAUCAAACAAAUAUCUAAUCAUACAAAGUACAAUACGUGAGAUACCUUGAUAUACUAGAUCUACUGAACUUCAAAUAGAGUCCAUGACUCAUAAUCUCAUACUAGUAAUCACAUUACCAAGACUUCCAUCUCUAUCUCACGUGGUGUAAUAACGUCAGGUUCAAUAGGCAUUCGUAUUGGCAUACAUUCAUUUUGAUACUCCUUGUUCCGAGAUAUUAACCUAGGCUCUAAUACUAAUCUGUCACAAUUCGAAAAUUUAACCCCGAGAGGUGAUUAAAAUUAUGAAUUGAUUACGUAGUACCAAUUAAAUUCCUCUUAAUUUGUGAUUGCUUCUAACUCUUAGGUUACAUUGCUUACGUACCUUAAGAUGGAAUCAAGCCAUUAGUUCAUCUCCUUGUUUCUAGGUAAGUGUGCCCUAACAUGUUCCGUUUACAGUUUCGAACAAAUCUUAUGUGUUUUUCUAAUUGAGAAAUCUCUUUUCACUAGAACAAGCCCGCUACAAGCACACCAAAUUAUACUAGUUAACCAAGCUGACAACUAUCGACCAAAUCGAACUAUCAACUAUCAACUCUAGAUGCUUUAACCAAUUGGACCUGGUUUUCCAUGACCGCUAUAACUUGGAUAUGAUCGAUAGUCUUAAAAAUGGGAACAAGGAGUCAGUGCACUUACGUCGAGCUACAUUACUACAUGAAGCUUAAAAUUUUGAGUAAUGCAAGAGAGACUAAAUUUUGAAAACUAAAGGACAUGAAAUUUGAUGAUUGGUUUAUUGUUUAAGCGUUGAUAGACAUGCUCAUUUCUACUAGUGACACAUAAUUUAGUUUGCAAUUUUUAUCUCUAAAUUUAGUCUCCCUAUCAUUAUUCCAAAAUUUUAGCUUACAUCAACCUGUAUAGGUCAUCCAAACGCAGCGUAUGAUGCAUGUGACUAUGUGAACCUAAUUCCGAAACAUUUUCAUCAACUCAAGUCUUUCUAAUUCUACCAAAAUAUGUCAAAAAGGAACAAGCAGUGUACCACAAUUGUACUAGAGAAAGCUCUUUAUGUGAGUUCCAAUGGCUGUUACAGUCAUAUAUUGAAGUAUUAAGCAGCAAUUCAAAGACUCCCCUCAACAAUUCCAUUGAGAAAUUGACUAAUACUAUCUCUCUCCCGCCCCGACUUUUUUUUCCAAGAUAUGAUUCUCAACAUUUAUUUGUACCAUCUCUUCAAUAAAGAUUGAACCCACAAAUAUUGAUUCCUUACCUCUAUUAGAAAGAUGGUACAAAUAGAUGAUAAUUGUCCUCCCAUUCUUUUCUUUUUUUCCUUCUCCCUCUGGUUUUUUCGGUUCCUUGUAGUGCAUCUAGCUCUCUCUCUUUUCUUUUUCUUUUUCUUUUUUCCUUCUUCCUUUAAAAAAAAAAGUAGACAGAUCAAGUUUUUUAACUAAAAAUAAAAAAAAUAAAUAAUGUUAACAUGAUCAUUUUCAUUCAUUUCUUGGUAAAGUAAAUAAGUGGAAAAUAAAAGAACGAGAAUAAAGAGAAAACGAGAUGCACGCGACUAUUAAAGUCAAUAUAAAAGUAUCUUUGAAAAAAUUAAACCACUUGGGAAAAAAAAAAAUUCCUCAAUUCAUUUUUCUUCAUUUAUCUCUCGACAAAAAACAGUAAUGCAAACUCUUGUGUAACAUAGUUGAGUCAAAUAAUUCAAACGAAGUUUCUAUCUUUGAAAAAAAUUAAAGCACUUGGGAAAAAAAAAUCCUCAAUUCAUUUUUCUUCUUUUAUCUCUCGAUGAAAAAAAGUAAUUUGAACUUAGGUGUAACAGAGUCGAGUCAAAUAAUUCAAAUGAAGUUUCUUAGGUAAAAAAAAUGUUGACAAGAAUUUUCGUUCUUUUCUUAGUAAAGUGAAUAAGUGGAAAAGAAAAGAACAUGAAUAAAGAGAAAACGAGAUGCACGCUAUUGCAAAAAUCAAUACAAAAAAUAUCUUUGACAAAAUUAAACCACUAGGAGAGAGAAAAAAAAAUUCUUAGUUUCUUUAUUUAUCUCUUGACAAAAACUAAUGAUGUGAAGGUGUCACAUAGUCGAGUGCAAAAAAUUAAAACCAAGUUUCCUAGUUAAAAAAAAAAACAAUAUUGACAAGAAUUUUCAUUCUUUUUGUAACAUCUCAUAUCGCCUAGGGGAGUGAUCCUUAAAUGUAUAUUCUCAUCCUUACCUAGCACGAGGCUUUUUGGGAGUUCACUGGCUUCGGGUUCCAUUGGAACUCCGAAGUUAAGCGAGUAGCGCGUGAGAGCAAUCCCAUGAUGGGUGACCCACUGGGAAGUUCUCGUGUGAGUUCCCAGAAACAAAAUCGUGAGGGCAUGGUCGGGGCCCAAGCGGACAAUAUCGUGUUACGGUGGUGGAGCGGGCCCGGGAAGUGAUCCGCCCCGGGCCGGGAUGUGACACUUUUCUUGGUAAAGUGAAUAAGUGACAAAAAAAAAAGAAGGAAUGAGAUAAAGAGAAAAUGAGAAGCACGCAACUACCAAACUUAAUAGAAAAAUAUUUUUGAAAAAAAAUUAAACCACUGGGGGAAAAUAAAAAAACGUCAAUUCAUAUUUUCUUCUUUUUUCUCUCGAUGAAAAACAAUGAUACGUACCCAUGUGUCACAUAGUUGAGUCAAAUAAUUAAAAUGAAGUUUCUUAGCUAAAAAUAAAUAAAUAAUGUUGACAAGAAUUUUUGUUAUUUUCUCAGUAAAGUGAAGAAGUGGAAAAGAAAGAACAUGAAUAAAGAGAAAACGAGAUGCACACGAUUACUAAAAUCAAUAGAAAAAUAUCUUUGACAAAAUUCAACUACCGAGGGAAAAUAACAAAAAAAAAAAAAAAACCCUCAAUUCUUAGUUUCUUCAUUUAACUCUCGAUGAAAAACAAUGAUGCGUACUAGGUGUCACAUAGUUAAGUCAAAUAAUGACAUAUCCCGAUCCGGAAUGUCCACUAGGACUCCGAAACGAGCUGUGCUGGCCAACACCUGGAAGGUGACGAAGCCAUAAAGUAUAGUGAUAUGGAAAAUGUGAAAAAAUUUAAACCUAAAAGUGCCUAAAGACAAGAGUGCGCUGUGAGCGGUAAUGAACCCAUUUCACGUGCGACGUUGGAGCAUAAGUAAAGUACAAUAGUGUGGGUAAGGAUCAUACCCUUAGAGGUCGCCAUCUAUACUGAGAUUCGCUAAGAAUCCUCGUCUAUACGAACUUUCAGCAGCUAAAACUUGGAGGGGCGAAAAACAAGGGUGAGUGGGCUUGAAAAUAAAAUUUUAAUAAAAACCUUUUGAAAACGUUAUAACCCCUCGCUGUAAAACCCGUGUAGUUUCUAGAAAAUAAUAUUACAUAUAUACGAAAACCAAUGCACAAGGCCAGUAAAAAAUUGAAAUAUGCCAUGUCAUAAUGUUUUAACACUAAAAGAUGUAAGCCAGGUGUGAAAUCAAUAUAAAAUAGUAUGUGAGUCAGAGCCACCUAAUGUGACCUGUACAACUGAACCUAUAGCUCAUCAACCUAGUCCUGCACACAAGUCGGAAUCACCUAAUGUGGUUUGUACGACAGGCUGGGUGUAAAAAGUACGCUCAAGUACUACGAUCACGUGAAGGCUGUGCGAUGAAUUGUGGGUCACCUACGAGUCGGAACCACCUAAUGUGGUUUGUACGACAGGUUGGCACCAAACUUGGAUCCAAGGUGAGCGUGCGGUGCGGGAGGUGAACGAUCACGUGAAGGCUGUGCCUUGGCCUCGGGCGGGAGCACUAACACCGCAGUGCAGGAUAAUUAGCUUUAAAUGCAUCUACGCAUAACCAUACACAAUGCAACCACCAUUAUCAUAAUGUACUCACCUGAAGCUUACCUGGGCCUCCGCAUCAUCAUUCAAUAGUAUGCAAAACUAUUCUAAUGCAAAUACUAAAAUAUAAUGCAUCAUUGACAUGGCAUUUAAAUCGUAAAUUCAUUUAAAAACAAUUUUUGGAAAUCGUAAAACAUAAAUACGUAUAUAUAGAAAACAAAAGUCCACUCACCUGGAGUCCGCGCUAUAACUCCUUAGCACAAAUAUCGAGGCGUCACGAAUGAUCGGCGCCUAUAACAAUUAUCAAACCACACCUCAAAAUCCUUAUCAAUAGAACACGUAACUUACAUAAAACACAUCCCCAAAGACGUUCUAGAAUGAUUUGAGACCCAUUCACCAAAAGUCAACUGUCGGUCAAAGAUCGACGAUAGGGUCUACAACCUUACGUAACUCGAUCUGGAAGAUCCACACCUCGGAUUUCUGAUCCGUAACUUCCCAAGAUUCACAUUAUGCUUCUAAAAUAUCAUAAUAAAGUUUCCUUACGAUCCAAUGGUUGGAUCUCCGCCAAUUGCCAAAAUCAGCCGGUUAACGUUUUAUUUUAUGAACUUACAAAUUCAAUUCGGGAAGAUCCGCAUGUCGGAUUCCCGAUCUGUAAGUUCCUAUGAUUUUCAAAUAUUAUGUACUAUAACGUAUUGAAUUUUGGUGACGAUCUAACGGUCAGAUCGUCGAUUCAUAUAAUUAUCAAGUAACGCACCUUAAUCAAACUAGAUUCACAAUAAUCAAAUCACAUCAUAUGGAUAACAAAUCUGAGAUCAAGAUAUCAAUUUAGUGUAAAAUAGCAUCGGCGAUCCACUGGUCACGCGCCGCCACAGGUGGAUUAUGAGCGAGAGAGAGAGAGAGAGAGAGGAGAGAGAGAGAGAGAGGAGAAAGAAGUGGAUUAUGAGCGGGAAUGGUAAAAGGAAAACAAAAUUAUCUUGGGUUGCGUGAAAUAAUUUGAAAGCUUCUUGACAUUUCUUGGCCAUAGGAUCAAUUUGAAGGGUUGAGAUCAAUUGAUCCCUAGGAUCCCCUGGCAAUAGCUAAGGAGAGGAUCCAUGUCCGUUCUUCCUAUUCCACAAGUAAGCCAAUUACUUUUAGGCGUAAUCUCUUAAGUCAUAUUUUAGGAAUUAGAAUAAUUUGAUUUUGCUGAUUUUGUCACACAACACUUAAAGUUAAUUACUGGUUGCAUUUGUGUACAGAUUGUAAUUUUAAUUUUUCUUCCGACAACGAGGGACUCAAGAUCUUUGGCUAGAAUGAAGAUUUUGAACUUACUUAUUCUAUUGCAAUAUGUUGCCCGAGGUCGUGCAGUGUACACAUAAUGUAAGGACUAUAACAAGGGAACACGUUAAUUUAGCAGGAACAUUCCUGCCACAAAGAAAAUAUGGAUUCUAGGUUUAUUAAAUUUCAUGCUAGCCAUGUAAAUUAUCAUCUUAUCUUAGUUAAACUGCUCCAUAAGUUGCUUGUAAAUAUUGUUGAGUUACAAAUGUAGUUCUUGGGUUGUUAGGUACUUGGGGCAUUUUGGUACUUUUUUUUUUGUUCAAUGAGAGAUAGAUUGUUGGAUCUCUACUUGUUAAAUUGAAAAUGAAUGCGACUUAAGUACUUUACAAUGUGAUAACACUACGUUCAGAAACGUCACAUUUCUAAAUGAUUUAUGUCCCACAAAUCCACCAAAUCCAAUGGCAUUCAAUUUUGGCAUAUUCAUUGACACUCUCCAAUCUGGCAUAGUGGGCAAAACAAAUUUUUCUCAAAAAUUCUUGAUGUGUUUCUCAUGGGGCUUACGAAUAUGGGGUUUGUUCUUGGAUCAUCAUGCAUAUACGUUUUUUUACAGUACACCGGUGUUUGAAGGGUUAAUUGAAAUUGAUUAUCAAAAUUCAAUCAUGCAAAUCCAGCCAUCCACUGAGUUGUCCUUUUUCAACUAUUGUUUUAAUAUAUUGCUCCAAUGAUUUCUUCAGUUCUUUUGCUUCAAAUCUCAACACUAGUUCCUAUGCCUGGGAAACCAGCUUUGUCAUUUUUAUUUCGAUCAGUGGCAUGCUACCAUUCAUGUAUCUGCUUGGACAUUUGCAGGUCGGUCGGUGAUGAGUUAUAUUUUGUAUAUCUGUUUUUCUUUUGAGUAGUUUCUACAUAUAUGCAUGUAAAUUUCAGGAUUUAAUAAACUCAAGUCCAAACCUCCAUGUUGUGGAGUAGACAUUUAUGCAGGCAACUAGCAGAACAUAUAGGAUAUGGGCCAUACGGAGGAGUAAAGUCAUAAUUCCACGAAUAGGUUUCAUGUUAUCUGAAUAUGGUCUUCCUAGAGUGACAUGCGUAUUGGCAAUUAGUAAUAGAAGCACUUGACGAGGACGAAGAUAAUCCUGCGGAGAAUAUCUUCUCGUUACACUUAAGAAACAUAUAAAGCGCCAUCUCUUCUUGGCUACACUAAAGAAUGUAAGUUCCUAAUGUCCUAUCUUUCUCAAUAUAUCUCCAUAUACAUAUCUCUAUAUAUAGUGUUCUAUAAACUUUUGGCAGUAGAUGGUUUUUCGAAUAAUCUAGUUGACGAAUUCAAGCUAUUAUAUAGAUAGGAGCAUGAACUCCCCUUUGAGUUCUUUUCGCGUGCUUUCGUGAGUGUACUUUUGAACAGUUGAUUAUCAUCCGUAUUAGUAAAAUGAUGUUGCUUAUAGGAUCUUAUCGAUGUAUUUGUAAGUUUCUAAUUACAUGUAUGAAUUAACCCCAGGUGCCAGGGCUUGAAAACAUAAACAGACAAGUUUUGGAAGCAAUCAUGGAGCAUCUUGAGCCAGUUAACUAUGGUCAUGGUAGCUAUAUUACUCGAGAGGGGGAGCCACUGGAUAUGAUGCUUUUCAUCACGCAGGGCACCGUACUUACCUACAAGACUAGUAGUAUCGGCGGAGAAAGUGGCUCGUCAAGCACUACACAUCUUGAGAAAGGUGAUAUUUAUGGAAAAGAACUUAUAGGUUGGGUGGCGACAUUUACCUCAUUUUCCGGCUAACCCAUCUCAGACCAAACUGUCAAGUCCCACGAAAAAGUUGAAGUCUUUGCAAUCAGGGCUGCCAGAUUAAAACGUAUUGUCUCUGACUUCUCGACUCAUUUCAACAGAGAGGAUAUUACUAUGGUGGAAAUAAACUGAUUAUGGAAUUUCAUAGGGAAUUUCUUAGUUAUCUGUAACUAGUAACUAGAUUUUUAAUUCAAAAUAACUUUAAAGAAUUUAAACAUCAUCUACUAUCCUCAACAUUAGCAAAACACAAGAAUACCUGUUAGGUUCAAUUGUACCACAAUUGUAAUAGAGAAAGCUCUUUAUGUGAGUUUCAAUGGUCGUUACAGUCGUAAUACGAAUCAUGGAAUCGAACGAGAAGGAGUCCGUUUCCUUUCCUACUUGCAUUGAACAGAUUCAAACAGGAAUCCAACAAUAUAUGUACAUAUAAUACAUAUGCCAAAGUCAGAAACAUCUGAUCAGAUGAGAAACAUUAAGCAAUUACUAAACCAGCUCGUAAGUGCCAACUAACAACACAUCAACGCGGAAAGUUAUCCACAAUAUCGACCGAAAUCCCUAAUUAUGGUCCAUUAAAACCAGAAUUCUAUAGAAUUUUAUGGCUUAACUUUUCUGUAUUCCAUAAUCCUGAAUGAAAGUACAUACAAUACUUGUUACAAAAGGAAACAAAAAACAAUAAAGAACACAGUAUCCUUCCUAAAACAUGUAAUUACAAAAUAUUUACAUUCAUUUUCUCCUAAAAUAUAGACUCACACCAAUACUCCCCCUCAAGUUGGAGCAUAGAUGUUAUACAUGCCCAACUUGAUAAGUGAGUUAUCGAACCUCCUAUUACACAUGGCAUGAGUAAGGAUAUCCGCAAGUUGUUCCUCUGAGUUCAUGAACGGUAUUGACACAAUCUUCUUUUCCAACUUUUCUUUGAUAAAAUGUCUAUCAACCUCAACAUGCUUGGUCUUGUCAUGCUGCACCGGAUUCUCAGCUAUUUCUCUAGCAGACUUAUUGUCACAAUACAAUUUCAUCGCCUCUUUCUGUGUAAAACCAAGACCCCAAAGCAACUUUCGUACCCAAAGGAUCUCACACACACCAUGUGCCAUACCCCUAUACUCGGCUUCGGCAGGGGACCGUGAUACCACAUUCUGCUUCUUGCUCCGCCACAUAACUAAAUUACCUCCAACAAAUGUAAAAUACCCAGAUGUAGACCGUCUGUCAGUCAUAUCACCUGCCUAAUCAGCAUCAGUAUAUCCCUCAAUCCUCAUAUAUCCAUGAUGUUCAUACAAAAUUCCCUUUCCCGGGGCAGACUUUAAGUAUGCCAAGAUUCUCAUUACUGCCACCAUAUGAUCCACACUUGGUGAGUGCAUAAACUAACUAACCACACUUACGGCAUAGGCAAUAUCCGGACGAGUGUGACACAAAUAAAUCAACCUCCCCACUAGCCUUUGAUAUCUACCUUUGUCAACCGGUUCUUGAUUUGGAUAAAUCCCCAAAUAAUGUUUCUUUGUGAUGGGAAUUUCCACAGGUUUACAUCCCAGUAUGCCUGUUUCCUUUAAUAAAUCCAGAACAUAUUUACGUUGAGACAAGAAAAUACCUCUUGAUAACCAAGCGACUUCCAUUCCAAGGAAAUAUUUCAAAUCUCCCAAAUUCUUCAUCUCAAAUUCAGCGGCAAGACUUUUUUCUAAUUUCAUCAUCUCCUCCGAAUCAUCACCCGUUAUUAUCUUGUCGUCCACAUAAAUAAUUAAGGCCGUCACUUUACCACUUCUCUGUUUCACAAAUAACGUGUGAUCAGAGUGAAUUUGAUAAUAACCAAUCCUCCUCAUAACUUGAGUGAAUCUACCAAACCAUGCACGAGGUGAUUGCUUAAGCCCGUAAAGUGACUUUUGCAACCUACAUACUUCGGUUUUCCUUUCGGCGUUAUACCCCGAAGGAAAAUCCAUAUAUACUUCUUCUUUCAAAUGCCCAUGAAGAAAAGCAUUUUUUACAUCAAAUUGUUUCAGUGGCCAAUUCAAAUUUGCAGUUAAAGUAAUAAGAACUCGUAUUGUAUUCAUCUUCGUUACUGGAGAAAAAGUUUCCUGAUAAUCAACACCAUAAGUAUGUGUAUAACCCUUUGCUACUAACCUUACUUUAUACAUGUCCACUGAUCUGUCUGCCUUGUAUUUGAUUGUAAAGACCCAUCUACACCCAACCAGUUUUUUCCUUUUGGUAGCUCCGUUACCUCCCACGUAUCAUUCUUAUGCAGUGCCAUCAUUUCUUUAUCCAUUGCAGCAGCCCAUUUAGGAUCCUUUAAGGCCUCCUCAACUAGCGUUGGUGCUUGGAUUGCUUCCACAUUAUUUACCCAGGCUUGACGUUCUGGUGCAAGGUUCGAGCAUGACACAUAAUUAGCUAUUGGAUACUUCACUUUUCCUUCAGGAGAAAACCUGUCAGGAGGAACACCACGAUUUUGCCUUGUUGGCAACUUAUACGUACUCAUAAUAUUAUCCGGAUUAGUUACAUGAGCAUUAGUUUUACUUACCUCAAGAAUAUUUAGAGAAGACACAUUGGGUGGCACUAUUGAGCUUGAGAGAGGGGGAACGGGUUCGUGUUCGGCAGCUGCUGGUUUGGCAGACUCCUGCCGCUACUCUGCAUCAUACUCGGCAGACUGUUGCUGAGAAGCAUCAAUUGUUUUGGUGCUCGACAGCUGAACAGUUGUCCAAUUUUCGACAGGCUAUGGUUGAGAACCUCACUGUCUUCAUUGUAUUCAUUCUCGGUAGUGUCUUGCCGAGAGCCUUCACAAUUUUUGUUUUCAACACACGGUCCCCUUGAGCUACAUAUUACAUUAUCUGGUAUCUCCAACCACCCAAGAUCAUCACUAGUAUUCUCCCCCUGGUGAUGAGAAGGUGAUGGAAUCGAAGCAUAAAAAUACUCGAAUUUUGAGAAAGUAACAUCCAUGGUCACAUACAUGUGGCGAGUUUCAGGGUGGUAGCACUUAUACCCUUUCUGUUGGGGAGUAAACCCAAGAAAGACACACCGGAGAGCACAUGGAUCUAAUUUACUACGAUGAAUCUUGUGAAUAUGAACAUAGGCUACACAUCCAAACACACGAGGAGUGAGAGUAUUAGUGGACAGUACGGGAACAAAUUCUAUCAACACUUGGAGAGGUGUACAAAGUCCACAACUCGGGAUGGCAUACGGUUAAUCACAUACACGGCAUUGGUAACGGCUUUAGGUCAAAACUGUUUAGGCACGGACGCACCAAUAAGCAAGGCACAAGCAGUUUCCAAGAUAUGACGAUUUUUCCUCUCAGCAACCCCAUUUUGUUGCAGAGUAUACGGACAUGUAGUUUGAUGAAUAAUUCCACGAUCUUGUAGAAACCGGGAUAACUCAGAAUUUAUGUACUCUCCACCAUUGUCAGAAUGCAAACUUUAAUAUCAGAAGAAUACUGAGUUUUAAUCAUCUGUUGAAACAAACGAAACACAUCAUAAACCUCACUUUUAUUUUUCAACACAUACAACCACGUCAUACGAGUGCAAUCAUCCACGAAAGUAACAAACCACCUAAUUCCUGUAGAAGUACUAACAGAGGAAGACCCCUACAUAUCAGAGUGUACUAGCGCAAACAGAAAAGAUCUUCUAGUCAUACUUGGAGGGAAUGAAGCACGAUGACUUUUGGCUAAAAUACAUACUUCACAUUUCAAUUCUGAGUCUUCAAUACCACUGAACAUAUCAAGUAAUAUAUGUUUCUAAUAACCAAACGAUGCAUGCCCCAAACGACGAUGCAAUAACAAUACCUUCUGUAGAUUACUAUUACGUGAUGUGUGAACCAAAUUAGCUCUUCCAGGAACCACAUCAUCCACAUAAUAUAGCCCCUCUCUCUUAGUGCCACGCCCAAUGAUCUCAUUUGUCUGAAUAUCCUUAAGCUAGCAAAGUGAAGGAUAUAUUAAUACAACACAAUCCAAUUGUUCAGUGACUUGAGGUACAGACAAUAAGUGAUGGGACAACGAUGGAACCAAUAAACAAUUAUGUAAGGGAAGAGAGGGUGUAAGAGACACUGUUCCCGCAGUAGUACCAUUGGCAGUUGCCACACACUUUCUAUAAGGAUCUUUCAUGGACUGAAACAAAGUUCUAUCAUACGUCAUAUGAUCCGUUGCAUCGGAAUCUAAAAUCCAACCGAUAUUGGUCAUUGUAAUAACACCUGCACAUCAGUCUCUACACAUUGCACAUCACAGACAAAACAACAAGUACGCACAACCACACUACACAAGCAUUGCUCACGUCACAACAAGCAAUAAAAAAAAAAAACAAGGUAAAGUGGGAACAACCCACUUGAUGAAUUAAUGCUUGCUGCCUAAUUGGAGCAGCAAAUACCUUUACUUUUUUUUUGUUUCGUUUUGUUUUGUUUUGGUCAACAAAGCAAUAACCAAUCACGGCAAUUGUGAAAUCCUGUUCCUGGAUUUCACUGUUAUAAUCUACGUAUUUGUACUAUUGAGAUUUUGUAUUAUUUCUCGAGAAUUUAUUUUAAAUUGUUUGAAUUUAGAUUUUAAUUAAACUAGUUACCAAGAGUGAAGUUUGAAAAAUAAUUAUUUAAAAUUCGUUGACCUUUUGAGGUCACAAGUAACGUUUUCGAAUAGGUCUCGAAGCCAUGAGUGCAUAGGCAAAAGCCGUUUGCGAGUCCAAGUUAUAACGAUAAAGUUACGGACGUUUGAAGUUGUGAACAAUAGAUUAUGGGAAUUAUUUAAUUGUGGGUUAAAGGUUAAGGGAGUUUAAUAAAAGGGGGAAGGAACCAAUCAGAUUUUAGAAAGGUGAGAAGCAGCCCAAUCAGGAGAGAGCAAUGAGGGGAAAGGAGGGAGACCCGAGUUGGGUCAUUUUUGACCCGCGAAACUCCAUUCUUGACCCGCUCAUAUCUCCUUCAUCCGAUCUCCGUUUUGGGUGAUCUUGGUGUCUAUAGAAAGCUCUUGAUGAGCCCUACAGCCUGGUAGUGUUAUAUUUCCCAAUUUCUUUCCCAUUUUUCGAGUUCGAAGCCACAAACCCACAGGUGUUCCGGCGGCUUUAUCCCUUUUCCCGGUGGCUCCGGCAAGUUUCACCAUCCAUGACCACCACCAAAAGACUUCCCUCAACCCCAGGAACAAAGCCUAAGCAGUGUUGGAGGUGUCGGAGUUCGAUUGGAAGCCGAAUCAAAGCACACCAUUUUCUAGGGUUUCGACGGGUUUGAGUGAAAUUGAGGUGUUUCCCGGCCAAAUUGGACUUGGCCACAUGUAUAAAGUUUGCUCUACUCUUUGAGAUAUUCAUUUUUUUAAAUUUUGGUAAUUUUUAAAAAUAGUUGAAUUUUUCGGCAAGUCGGGGUGGCCGACCGCCACCCGUGGCUGUGGCCUGGCCAGUGGGCCAACGGUGUCUUUUUAAGUUCAAUUAGAUGCCCUGAUUUCAUAAUUGAUAUCAUUAUGAUAUGGUUUGAUUGUUUGAACCUAAUUUCAUUAUGAUACGUGGUUAGGUUAAAAUAUGAUUUGACGAUCCGACCGUUGGAUCGCCACCAAACCUUAAUGCGUGAUAGAAAUAAUAUUUGUGGAUCAUAGAAACUUACAGAUCGAUAGUCCGACAUACGGAUCUUCCUUAAUUGGAUUUAUAAGUUGGUAAAAUUAAAUGUUGACCGCCACUUGAAUUUUGAAAUUGGUGGAGAUCCGACUGUCGGAUCGUGUUGAGAUUUUAGUAUGUUGUUAUUUGAGCAUAAUGUGGACUUUGGAAAGUUACAGAUCCAAAAUCAUAUGUGUGCAUCUUCCGGAUUGAAUUACCUUUGACCGAGAGUUGACUUUUGGUCAACAUGUCUCGAAACGUCCUAAUUACUAAAAUUAGUACUACAGGGGAUUAAGUGAAGUCUAGUGGGCCUACAUUGAUUAGAGAGUGACUUGAAUAUAUGUGAUAUGGUUAUUACCUUAAUUUCCUAUGUUAGUAUCCUUUGUGAAGAUGAGUUGGUUUUAUAAAUGUGAUUUUUAUAUAUUUAGCCAAAGGCCUAUGAUUAUUAAACAUGAUUUGGCUUGGUACUGAUGAUCGUUGUGACAUAUGUGAGUUAAAUUAUCUUUUUAGUAAUGUGAUUCAUGUGUAUAAUUAUUUUUAUGACAAUGUGAUCCUAGAAUUCUAUUGGAAGUAUGUUGUAGCACUUAUAUGCUUGGGUGACAUAUUAGUGGUGACCUCGAGAAGUUGAUGGUGUAGGUGACUACGUUGUAACUCAUAGGGGUUGAGAUGUGGAUAAGUUGAGGUGUUGAGUUUACUACACCAUGUAGUAGUUGUACAUUGAUGGUCCUGCUUGGUAUAUCCGCAUUGGGGGACCAUACGCAUUCUAUAAGUGAUCAUGCUUGGUAUAUCCGCAUUGGGUGAUCACUACCUACCUGAUUAUUUUGACCCUGCUUGGUUAAUCCGCAUUGGGGGGUCAUUAGUGAUCCUGCUUGGUUAAUCCGCAUUGGGGGGCCAUAUUAUAUAUGGAUCGCACUUAGGUAAAUUGCGUUGGGCAAUCCUUAUGGCCAUGUAUGCUUAGGAAUGAUCAUGCUUGGUUAAUCCGCAUUGGGUGAUCACUUCCUAAUAGUUGUAGGGGUGACUCUGCUUGGUUAAUCCGCAUUGGGGGUCACUGCCUACUUGGUUAUUUUCUCAAGGGUGGCUCUGCUUGGUUAAUCUGCUUUGGGGGGGCCAUUUCCUAUUUGGUUACUUAUGUGGGCUUCAGUUGAACUGCGUCCUUCUAGCCCUAGUUUUAAUUUACAUAUGAAUGAUGGUUUUUUGAGAAUCUUGGUGGUUUGAAUGGGAUAAGUCGUUGGAUGUUUAGGUGACUCCUUCGGAGUUAUUAGAGACUUGAUUAUGUUUUCAUAUUUACGAACUUAUAUUUGAGGUUAUAAACUAUAAUCAAUGGUCUUUCUUUUUAUUGAUUAUCUCAUACUUGUAAUUUGGUUCCGUUGAGUGGUCCGGAACCCAGUGUUGUUGGACUUCGUUGAGUGGUUCGGAAUCCUUGCUUUUGCUUAUUUCCAUAAGGUUAUCUUAGAAUCUUAGAUUCGAGUGAAUGAGAAUUACGCAAAAUGGAUCUUGUGCAUACAAAUUAGAAUUACCAUGUUAUUAUUCAUAACCCAAGUAGGGAAUUAUGUAGAGUUCUUUAAUUAAACUCGUGAAAUGCUGUGCUAUCUCACUGAUUGAUUAACGUAAUUAAAUAUUAAUAUUGUGCUUCGUGAUUCUCUGACAUGUUACAAGCUAUGGAUUGAGAUAUAAUGUUAGAAGCAUAGUGAUUGGUAUGAUGUAGUGAAAUGUGAUUUGACUUGUGUAUUGGAAAUGGUUGUGUCAUGUGAUUAAAAUACAUAUUGAAUUGCUUGAGAGAUGUGAGAUCUAGUAAUGGACCGAUAACCCAUUGUGAUGGGGAUUUAUUCCUCGAUAUUAGUUCGUUUCGUUGAGUCUUCGUGAAUUGAGUAACUUGAAUCCUGUCUUGUUCCUUCAAGCCGUAGUUAUGCUUCUUGGAUUUCCAUUCAGUUCUGUUGAGUGGUUCGGAACUAAGUUCUGUUUGGAUUCCGUUGAGUGAUGGUCCGGAAUCCUUUUUACUCUGCGAUUCCGUUGAGUGAUGGUCCAUAAUCGUAUCCUGGUUUGGAUUUCGUUGAGUGAUGGUCUAGAAUCGUAUCAUUGACUUGUUAGUUCCUUGGAUUUGAUAUCAACUUCAGAGAUGUAGGCUUCGGCCAAACUGUGUCGCUCUAGGCCUGCAUUUUGGUAUAUGAUGUGUUGUUGAUUGAUGUGAUUAUGGAAUAAUGUUGGUUGUGAUUAUUGUCAUUAUAAUUAGACUCGUUGACUAUUUUGGCUAUAGAAUAGCAUGGUGAUCCGUUGAUUGUUUUUUUUUUUUUUUUGAGAUGUUGCAUACUUGAAAUGGAGAAUCAUGUGAAAUGUAGUGAUUUAUAUGAAGGAUGAAGUGGAAAAUAUAUGUGUGGGCAUAGCAUACCUGCGUGCAUGACAAGAUGAUAAUUGUGUAUGGCUUAUGGUUGAUGUGUAGUGUGGUACCUUAUGUUUUUUUUUCACUAUAAGUAUUUUACGAAAAGAUUAAAGUUUGACGAACGUUGAACUACGAAUGACUUGAUCCCUAUUGAGGGUACGUAGGUAGUCUAACGAAGAGGUUAGAUGCAACCAUAAAUUGUACGAAAAAUGCUAUGAAAUUUGAAUCUUGAUUUAUGCUUUGUACAUAUCCCGGAGGUGGGGUAUGUUAGAUGUACGGGUAUUGGUGACGUCACGAGUCGAUUCUGGACGUAUGUUGGGAUCGGGGCGUGAUAGCAAUUACGAAACAAUUACAGACUAUAACACUAGAAAAUCACGACAAAGAAAACAUGCUCACAAAAUUCACAUAGUACAAAAUAAGGUGGCAGCAUAACACAACUUUCCACGCAACAACUCUAAUUGGAGAACAUAGCCAAUACCGUAGCAGCCUCAAGUAUUUGUACGGUAGCAGACAAGCAGCAGACAACUACACACUGCAAGUCAAUACACAGUACACUUGCAAAAGCACAGCACCACACACAACAGCAGCAAGAUCACACUACUGCAAAUCUAAUAUACACGGCCUGAUCGAUUUUUGCAACAAGCAGCGUAGGAACAAGUCGACCGAACACAGCAGCGAAAGAAAAUAUUGUUUUACAGUUUCUAGGGCUACAACAAAUUUGGCAUUGAUGCCAAAUAGAAUUUUACGGCUUAACUUUUCUGUAUUCCAUAAUCCUAAAGAAAAGUACAUACAAUCCUUGUUACAAAAGGAAACAAAAAAUAAUAAAGGACACAAUAUCCUUCCUAAAACAUGACUCUAAUAAUUACAAAAUAUUUACAUUCCUUUUCUCCUAAAAUAUAGACUCACGCCAAUAAAUUCUAAUAUAAAUUAUACACAUAAUGAAAAAGAAAACGCUGUGAUCCUGUAAUUUGUUGCUAUGCAGUGUGAGCUAGUUGAUUCGAAAUAUUCACCAGUAGCAACCAAAUUCAAACAUGGUAUUCAUUUUUUCCGGAUUUUCUCGGAAUCCAAACGGAGGAUAAGAAAAGGGGAGUUAGGGUAGAGGAUAAACUCACGAGCUGUCUGAUGUAGAGAGCCUAGAGAAAUUUUCGAGCUAAGAUCGCAGCCAUAGCCAGUGGUGGCUGAGUCAUAUUAACCAUGUAAGUGCCAAGUGGCAUAAUCUUAGUUAAACAUGUGCUUUGGUUGUAGACCAUUGGAUUCUAGCUAGAUGGGAUGAUUGUAGACCAUUGGAUAUGAGUUAGUUAGGGAGUUACUUGACUGUUAAGAUUCCAUCCUCUAUAAAUACUAAAGGGGUUCACUGUACAAUGUAAUGAAGACUUUCUCUUUCUAAUACAAUUCAGCUUACAAUUCUCUUUCUCUCUUUUUCUCUCAGUAUUUUGUUGAUCUUUUCUGGUUUCUAUUGCAAGUGUUAUGAUGGUAUCGAGCCGGUUUGAUUUUUUUUUUCGGGGGGCUUGGUACUGAUCGACGCUAAUCGUGAAAUCAGAUCGAUGCAAGGUUUGUGCUAGUUGGUGCAGAUCGUUGUUCGAGAUAGUAAAGUCGAUGUUAGUCGGUGCAAGUCGGUGCAGAUCAUUUUUCGGUGCUCGAGAUUCUUUCUUCUUCACUGGUUUGUUGUCUUGAGUUUCAACAAUGGCAGUGCUGAAUCUUGCUGACAAUUGUGAAAUCAGGUCAUUUCUUUUUAAUUCUCAGUAAAAUUGAUCAGUUCUUGAGGUUAAAAUUUGGGCACAAAGCCAUUUCCAGUCUCUGUAAUUGUUGAAAAGUGUUGGAUUGUUUGGAAAAUUGUUGAGGCACAAAGCCAUAUAUGUUUCUUGCAUAUGAAAAUUGUAGAGGCACCAAGCCAUACAUUUGAUGAGAAGGAUUAUAGCACAAAGCUUCAAUUUAUUUCAAGAAAAACACAAAUUAGGGCACGAAGCUCUAGGGUUUUGUUUGUAUGAAGUUGAUUGUUUUGACAUGAAGUCUUUGAUUGAUUGCUAAAAGAUAUUGUUGAUUGGUACACAUUCUGAAGGUUUAAAGGCGAAAUAGUAGAUCUAAGAAAAUUGAAGUAGUUAUUCUCUGAGAAAUUGGGAUUUUCUGUGAAGUGUUGUAUUGAUGUUGAUUGUAAUUUUCUUUCCAUAUCACAAUGAGUUCUUCACCACCCAAGAUUGAGGGUUUGUUGGGUAUGCUCACAAUUCGAUUACAAGAUCAUAAUUUUGCUAAGUGGUCCUUUCAAUUUCAGUUUGUCUUGGAAGGAUAUGAUAUUUUCGAUUACUUUGAUGGUACCAAUGUUUGUCCUCCUAAGUAUGUAGUAUCCUUGGAGAGUGGAGUGACAAAGGAAAUAACUGCAGCAUAUCAUGAGUGGAUAAAGACAGAUAAGGCAUUACUUAGUCUCUGAUUGCAACGCUUGGUUAUGAGGCAUUUGAAUAUGUAGUAGGAAGCAAGACAACUUAUGAGGUUUGGACACAACUCACUGAUAAGUAUGCUACAAUGUCAAGGGCUCAGAUAAAUCACCUCAAGACUGAGUUACACACAAUCAAGAAAUGGGUUGAUUCAAUAGAGAAAUAUUUGUUGAGGCUUAAACAUUUAAAGGAUCAAUUACAAGCUGUAGGAGAGAAUAUUUUCGAGAAUGACUUAGUUGUUGCUGCCUUGGCUAGCUUACCAUCUGAGUAUAACAUGAUAAGAACUGUAAUUGUGGCAAGAUAGUCACCUAUAACUCUGAAAGAAUUUCGUGCACAACUUCUAAGUGCAGAAAGAACAACUGAAGAGUAUCAGACCACAAUGCAGUUUCCAAUGACAAGAAUGUUCUCUCAAGGUGAGUCUUCUACAAAUAGAGGUCAUAGAAAGUUGGGUAAAAGACUGUUUACCACCCUCAUGUUUCGUGGUUUUCAACAUUUAGUACAUCAAGUUUUUUUCGUCCCAGAGUCAUACCUAAAGUGUAAAUUUUGGGACAGUCUCAUACAUCUGUUAGUCAAACUGUUAGUUCUCCCGUUAAGUGAUGACGUGGCGUCCUGAUUGGAAGCCAUGUGUCAUUAAAAAAAUAAAAAAUUUAUUUAAAUAAAAAUAAUAUUAAAAAAUAUUUAAAUAAUAAAAUAAUAAUAAAAUAUUUUUUUUUCCCUUCUUCUCUUCUUCUUUUUCUUCUUUCUUCUUCUUCUUCUUCUUCUUCUUCUUCUUCUUCUUCUUCUGGGUUCGGUUCUUUCUUUUCUUUUUUUUUUCUUUUUUUUUUCUUUUUCCUCCUCCUUCUCCUUCUUCUUCCUUCUCCUUCCUCCUCCUUCUUCUUCUUCCUUCUCCUUCCUCCUCAUUCUUCUUCUCCUUCUUCUUCCUUCUUAAGAAGGAAGGAGGAGAAGGAAAAAAACAGAAAAAAAAAAAAAAACCGAACCCAGAAAAGAAGAGGAAGAAGAAGGAAGAAGAAGGAGAAGAAGAAUGAGGAGGAAGGAGAAGGAAGAAGAAGAAGGAGAAGAAGAAGGAGGAGGAAGGAGAAGGAAGAAGAAGGAGGAGGAAGAAGGAAAAAAAAAAAAAAAAAAAAAGAAGAGAAACCGAACCCAGAAGAAGAAGAAGGAGAAGAAGAAGGAGGAGGAAAGAGAAGGAAGAAGGAGGAGGAAAGAGAAGGAAGAAGAAGGAGAAAGAGGAGGAAGAAGAAGAAGAAAAAAAAAAAAAAAAAGAGAAACCGAACCCAGAAGAAGAAGAAGAAGGAGAAGAAGAAGGAGGAGGAAGGAGAAGGAAGAAGAAGGAGGAGGAGGAAGAAGGAAAAAAAAAAAAAUGGAAACCGAACCCAGAAGAAGAAGAAGAAGAAGAAAAAAAAAGAAGAAGAAAAGAAGAGAAGAAGAAAAAAAAAAUUUUAUUAUUUAAAUAUUUUUUUAAUAUUAUUUUUAUUUAAAUAAAUUUUUUAUUUUUUUAAUGACACGUGGCGUCCAAUCAGAGCGCCACGUCAUCACUUAACGGGAGAACUAACAGUUUGACUAACAGAUGUAUGAGACUGUCCCAAAAUUUACACUUUAGGUAUGACUCUGGGACGAAAAAAACUUGAUGUACUAAAUGUUGAAAACCACGAAACAUGAGAAUGGUAAACAGUCUUUUACCCUAGAAAGUUUUACCAAGGAGAGUCUUCUUCAACAAGUGCUAACAUGCAGUUUUAUCAAGGAGAAAGUUCAUAUGGUUCCAGUUCCAACUCUCAGAACCAUGAUGGUGUUGGUUUUGUGGGACAUUAUCCAAGAAACUCUGGUAAUGGCAAUGGUGGACAUGGCUCAAAUGGGGGAAGUUUUUCUCAGUAGUCUCAAUAGUUUCAAGGUCCAAGAAAUAAUAAUGGCUUCAAUGGUCCGAGAUUUAACAAUAGACCCAGGUUCAAUGGAAUAGGUAAUUCUGGAGGAUUCAAUAAUAGAAGUGGAGAUUUUUCUGGUUUUUUCAAUAACAACAAGGGCAACUCAACCUGGAAUUCCUGGAAUGGAAACAAUGGUCAAAGAUCAAAUACAAUACCAAAGUGUUAGAUUUGCAGCAAUAGGGGCCAUAUUACUCCAAACUGCUAAUACGGAAAUGAGCAACCUUCUUCUAAUGUUCCUGUUCCAAAGCGUUAGAUUUAUGGUAAACGUGGACACACUAUUCUCAACUGCUUCCAUAGGAGUAACUACUCAUUUCAGGGAGUUCAGCCACCUUAGUCCCUCAAUGCCAUGACUGCUCAAUCUUCAGCUCAUUUUAAUUCUAAUCAAUCUUGGAUCAUGGACACCGGGGCAACACAUCACGUGACUGGAAACAUUGAAGACAUGAAUAGGAUUGCACCAUUUGAUGGUGAUUAGAAAAUCACAGCUGCAAGCCUUAUCUCUGCCUAUACAUUAUGCAAGGAUAAUAAAUGUUAUGUUAUUCUUGAUGAAUUUGGUUUUUGGGUGUAGGACAAGGCAACAAAGACAAUAAUCAUUAGAGGAAAGAGUAGUGGGGGUCUAUAUCACAUUCCAAAGCAGCUUUUCUUCAAGUACAAUCAGCUGUUGCAGUCUACUCCAAAGGCUUUUCUUGGGCAAUUGGUCAAAGCUUCUCUGUGACAUCAUAGGUUAGGACAUCCAACCAAUGAGAUUCUUCAUAGUAUGUUGUCUUAGUCUCAAAUUACUUACACCAGAGAUGUAAAUAGACAUGUAUGUAGCUUCUGUCUUCAAGGAAAAAUGUCUAGACAAAUGUUUGAGUCUAGAACUCUAGGGUUUGUCCAACCUUUUGAGAGAAUUAGUAUAGAUGUAUGGGGUCCUGCUUUUAUUGUAUCAGUGGAAGGUUACAAAUACUAUGUCAGUUUUAUAGAUGAUUGUACUAAAUUCACUUGAAUUUUUCCAUUAAUAUACAAAUCACAAGUGUUUGAAGUCUUUCAAUCUUUUUAUGCUUUUAUUCAGAAUCAUUUUCAAGCAAAUGUUAAAUUCUUUCAAUCAGAUGGUGGUGGUGAAUACAUAAGUGUUGCUUUUAAGAAAUUCCUGAGUUCCAAGGGUAUUAUUCAUUUGAUUUCCUGCCCAUAUAUACACAAGAAUGGUACUGCAGAACGAAAACAUCGGCAUAUAUUAGAAAUUGCAAUAACUUUGCUUACAACUGCCAAGUUACCAUAUCAAUUUUGGUAUUUAGCUUGUGCACAUGCUGUUUUUUUUUUUUUUAUCAAUAGGAUGCCAAGAAAGUCCUUAGGUAUGUAUUCUCCAUUCUACAAGUUGUUUAAAGUUCCCCCUGUGCUUAAGUCUCUAAAAGUAUUUGGCACCUCAGUUUAUCCCUACCUUAGACACUACAAUUCCUUUAAGUUGGAUACUAGAACUAAUCAAUGUGUUUUUCUGGGAUAUGCUCUUGGGUAUAAAGGUGUGAUCUGUUACCAUAAAGCCAAUAAGAGGUUGAUUAUCUCUAGACAUGUUAUUCACAAUGAACAAACUUUUCUAUUUCAUCAAGGAAGUGUUACAACUGAUAUUCAAAUGAGUGGUGAUAUUUCUGGUAGACAUAAUCCUAUUCUAGUUCCUUAUGUCUUAGCAGCUUCAAUUGAAAUGCCUCAAUCAGGUACUAUUCUCGAGUUUUUAGUGCCAAGUGGGUCAAAUUCAAGUGUGCAAGAAUCUUUUCCAGCUUCUUCUCCAGAUGCUCAAGACAAUGAGAUACCAGCUCAUUCACCCCACACUACUUUACUCUCUCCAACAUCUUCCAACUCUUUGUUGCUUGUCCUUGACUCUACCCAACCAGAGGUACAUUUUCCUCUUACUCCAAUUCAUGAAUCAGGUAUAACACAUAAUUCUACCAAGGCUUAUUCUACUUCUAAGCAUCCUAUGCAAACUAGACUUAAAACUGGUGCUAUACAUAGACAGGAUUAUAAUGCUUACUUUGCACAGUUUCAUUCAUCUUCUAGUUUGGGUGACCUUGCAUUCUGUGGUUAUACUUCCUUAUUGAGUAUUAUUGAAAGUUGUGAACCAUCACCAUAUAAAGCUGCUGUUAAGAGUGUUCAUUAGAGAGAUGCUAUGGUUGAUGAAUUUACAGCCUUACAAAAGCAAGGCACAUGGGUAUUGGUUCAUCCACAAAUAGAUAUAAACAUUAUUGGCUAUAAGUGGGUUACAAGGUCAAAAGGGAUCAACAUGGUAUAGUCUCCAAAUAUAAAACACGGUUAGUUACUCAAGGGUUCAAUCAAGAGCAAGGACUGGAUUAUGAAGACACCUUUAGUUCUGUGGUUAGACAUAGCACAGUUCGAAUGUUCUAGCAUUUGCAGCUUCAAAUAAAUGGUCUCUCAGACAACUCGAUGUGAAGAAUGCAUUCCUUCAUGGGGAUUUGCAAGAAGAGGUUUUUAUGAAGUAGCCACAAGGUUUUCAAGACUCGGAGCAUCCACACUAUGUUUGUAAGUUGAUUAAGUCCUUGUAUGGUCUGAAACAGGCACCUUGAGCCUGGGAUUCAAAAUUUACAACCUUUUUGCCUACCUUGGGGUUUGUUGUUUCGGAAUCUGACACUAGUCUCUUUGUUAAAACACAGGGUGCAUAUGUAGUGAUUUUGCUUCGCUAUGUGGAUGAUAUAAUCAUCACAGGGUCCAACACUUCUCCAAUUCAACAAGUGAUUGACGCUCUGAGUGAAGUGUUUGAUAUGAAAGAUAUGAGAAAGUUAACUUUCUUUCUAGGUCUUCAAAUUACAUAUAAGGAUAAUGGUGAUCUAUUUAUACCACAGUCAAAGUAUGUGAAUGACUUGUUAAGAAAGGCUGGUUUAGAGUCUUGUAAACCUUUUCCUACCCCUUGUAAACCUCAUACACAAUCACAAAGAUGAAGGCACACCCUUAGCUGAUCCGAAGGUGUUUCGAAGCUUGGUAGGAGCAUUGCAAUACCUUACUUUUACUUGGCCAGAUAUAGCAUUUGCUGUCAACUAUGCAUGUCAAUUCAUGGCUACUCCAGCAGAUGCUCAUUUUGCUCUUGUUAAAAGGAUACUUCAUAUUUACAAGGCACUAUUUCCUGUGGUGGUCUCACCUAUUCUACUACUUUAUAGAUGGAACUAUCAGCAUUUAGUGAUGCAGAUUGGGUUUCUAACAUCAAUACUCGAAGGUCCACGACUGGAUAUGUAGUGUUUUGGGUCAAAAUCCCAUUUCCUGGCAAUCUAAGAAGCAAUGAGGGGUGUCUCGCAGUUCCUCGAAGGCUGAGUACAAAGCAUUGGCAAAUGCAGUAGCAGAUGUAGCUUAGGUUCGAUUAAUCUUGAAAGACUUACAAGUUUUCUUGUCUCAUCCUCCAUUACUCUAUUGUGAUAACAUAUCCACUCUAGCGUUAUGCUCAAAUCCGGUUUUUCACACCAGAAUCAAGCACCUCGAUACUGAAUUUCAUUUUGUUAGAGAACGAGUAUAGAAAGGUAACUUACAAGUUAAGUAUAUCCCCACAAUGGAUCAGGUGGCCGAUGUAUUAACUAAAGGUUUUCAUGGUCCUUCAUUUCUUCAUCAUUGUUCCAAUCUCAAGCUGGGGUUUCCCCAGUUGAGAUUGAGGAGGGGGUAUUAACCAUGUAAGUGCCAAGUGGCAUAAUCUUAGUUAAACAUGUGCUUUGGUUGUAGACCAUUGGAUUCUAGCUAGAUGGGAUGAUUGUAGACCGUUGGAUAUGAGUUAGUUAGGGAGUUACUUGACUGUUAAGAUUCCCAUCCACUAUAAAUACUAAAUGGGUUCACUGUACAAUGUAAUGAAGACUUUCUCCCUCUAAUACAAUUUAGUUUACAAUCCUCUUUCUCUUUCUUUCUCUCUGUAUUCUGUUGAUCUUUUCUAGUUUCUGUUGCAACUGUUAUGAAGUCGAUGGGUCUUCGUCGAUGCGAGUGGGUUCGAUUUAGGGACGUUGGGAAAGAGCAGGCCAGUGCCAAUCAUACAUUUUCUCCAUCUUCUGUCGAUAUGGGGCUCUAUGCAAGUGACCCCUCCCCUCCCCUCCUUUUUUUUUUUGGUUCAAAAUUACUGUUCUUAUCAACUAUUUAUAUCAUCAUUUAUACAAUAUGUUUAAUAAAAAUAGAAUCUACUUCCGUUUGGUAGACCUUACCUCUAUUAAAUGAUAAGUGUAGCACAACUUUUUUUUUUCAUCUCUUUGGCUGUCCAUUAGGAAUUUCUCAAAAGCUAGAGAAUUUAAGUCCCCAGAAAAGCCGUCUUCAAUAACUUAUAACCGAAACAAACCUGACAAGUCAAUUUGUUUAGCACUGCACACGCACACUCUUUCAAUCGACAUGACAAAACGGCUUGGAAUCGAAGGCUAGGAUUUUGAUGCAAUUAGCUGAGAGGCCUUGAGAAUCUGCUCCAUUAGAUAUUUCUCAAAAAUUCACCGUUCAGUCACUUUUCCAUCAGAAUAAACCCUCUGCAUUUGUAAUGGAAUUACAAAGGAAAGUAUAAAAAAUCUUCAAAAGUAUAUAUUUUUAUAGGGUAAUAUAUGGGAUAAGACAAUCCAAUAAAAAUUACAACUCGAUAAGUAAUGCGUCUUGGAUACGACAAUCCAAUAGAAGUUACACCACUUGGAAAUGGUAUAAUGAAUGUAUGUAAAAGGAGAAACCAUUCCUCUUGAACAAAUCAUUUAACAUUAAAUCAAUUUCUCUAAUAUGUAAAAUCCAUUUAUGGGCAUCAAGUAUGAAUCUAUAUACCAUUUUGACACUUAAUGUAAAUUUAAUGAUAAGCUAUAUUGAGAAAAGUCUCCAAAUCAACUUAAGAGGAAGUACUUCUCCUAAUUAACCUUUAGGAGAAGUUGCAACUCCCUUGAAAUGGGAUGAUGAAUGUCUAUAAUGCAUUCCUCAUCAUGACAAGUCAAUGGUUUCUAUUCAUCCAAGGGGUUUACAACCACUCUACCAUUUGAUAUUAUGCUUUAGAUAUAUUACGCUUCAAAGUUCUUUUAACUUCCUAAAUACCACAAGUUUUGAAUUAUGUAAAGGAGUAAGUUUGCCUAGCCACAUGGGCAAUUUCAUCCUCGAAGAGGAUAAGAAAAUGAGUAGACAAACCUAUAUAUUCACCCAAGUAGAAAACAUUCCCCACCUCAAUGUGAAUGGAUAUAUUCAAUAGAUCGCUAAAAUUGCACCAUUUUUUUUUCUUUUGUUCAACACCAAACAAAAGAAAAAUUCGAAUAAUAAAAUUGUGCCUUCUUAGUUUCUCAUUGAUCCAUAAACACUAUUUUAAAGAUUUCCGUUUAGCUCUGCCUAAGCGCCAACUGACGAUGUCAAUGGUGGUCAAUCGUGGAGACACAUGCCUUGUCGAGAAAGUCACCUUUGGUGAGCACAAUUUUAUUAGCAUAAGACUUGGUCGGAAAAGACAAGACCCAUCUUCAAUACUACCUUUAUUUUAACUUUUGGCUACUUACUCCAAAUAAAGAAAGUAACCCUUUUUUUUUUUUGGAGAACUAGAAAAUGUCAUUAACCAGGGCCACAGCAAAAAAGAAUACAGAAAACCACAUGGGCUAAGAGCAACUCCACCCAUGGAGCCCUCCCCCUGGCAAUCCACUAUUCAAUCCACCAUAUUGAACAGUAACUGCCUUAAAUGAAUAGUAACUACCAUUAAUGAACAGUAAUUGCCAUUUACAUCUCCACCCUUGGAACCCUCCCCCUGGCAAUAAACAAUUAAAAUAAUAGUUUUUUUUGUUUGUUUAAAUAAUAAAAAAUUGCAAAAGCUCCGGUCCCCCCCUCUCUCUCUCUCUCUGUGACACAAAAAAAAUAAAAAAUUGCAAAGCCCUCAGGGCCCUUGGCUAUGGGAUCCUUAUCAAGUCCCUCUCGUAUACGAUCGGGCACGCUCACUUUGAGUUGGCUCACAGCGGCUACCUCCUCAAGCUUAAGUGAGGCCAAUAUAUCUGACCAAUCAUCAAGCUCAGUCCCGUCGACUCCCCACCCCCCUUCGCUCGGGCUCCCUGUUGUGCUAGGAUAGAACCAAACCCGUUGGAACCAACUCAAGCUAACCCACAAGAAAUUUAUCAAAUGAAAAUGCAAGAACAAAAUAUUAAAGACACCAAGAUUUUAACGAGGUUCCUCAACAGUCAGUGUAACUGGAGUACGUCCUCGGAGCAGUAGGAGCUCACCCAAUAAUCCACUAUCAACCAAAUGGGAGUUUACAAAGUGUUGGCAAUCUCACAACCCAUAAGCCCAAUACACCCAAUAGCUCUCACACACCAAAGAAACAAAUAGAGAAAGAAAUAUAAUGAAUAAUUUCUUCUCUACACAUAUAGCUCAAAGCUAUUACAACAACAACUACUUUGAUGGAUGAUUACUAACAAAAAAAAAAAAGAAGCACUUUCUUCUUCUCUUCAAAGAGGGGCUGCUCCACUUCUAUUUUUCUUCUCUGUUUUUCUGAUGCACAAUUCUCAUCUCUCUCUCUAAUUGCUCCAAAGGCAACAACACAAUGUUAAAAACCAAAACCCACGGGUGUUAUGGCCAAAACAAUUCACCUUAGACAAGGUGCCAUGUUUUCCUCCCCAAAACAUGGAAGAGACAUAAUUAUUUUGUCUUUUUUUUCCUUUUUGAUUUGUUUAAUCAAAAGUUGGCCACUUGGCCACAUACUCCAACAAUCUCCACCUUGGCCAAGUUCUGAAGCGCCAUGAUAAGCCAACAACACAAAAACACUCCCAAACACUAGCAAGAGAACAACUCAUGCAGAGCCAAAUGCUCUAAAACUCCUACUGCUCAACGCCUUCUUUAUAUAGGCAAAAUAUGAGCCAAGUUCAAGCAAUGAACAACUUGGCUACACCAACAACCUUAGUCAACAUAUCAGCGGGGUUGUCUUUAGUUGGAAUCUUCUGGAGAAUGAUUUCCCCUUCACCAACAAUUUCACGAACAAAGUGAUAACGCACAUCUAUGUGCUUGGUCCUCGCACGAUGAACCUGAUACUUAGCCAAAUAAAUAGCACUUUGAUUAUCACAAUGUACCUCCACCUGCUUCUGAUCAACCCCCAAAUCUCUAAUCAGCCCAUGUAUCCAAAUGGCCUCCUUUAUAGCUUCAGCAAAUGCCAUAUAUUCAGCCUCUGUAGUAGACAAGGCAACAGACGACUGCAAAAUAGACCUCCAACAAACUGGCCCUUUAGCCAUAGUAAACAUAUAGCCUGUAGUAGACUUUCUUCCAUCCAGAUCACCUGCAUAAUCUAAAUCAACAUAACCAACUGCAAAAUGACCAAUACCAGAGUCAUCUCUCUCAAAACAUAAACCAACAUCUCGAGUACCAUGGAGAUACCUCAAUAUCCACUUAGCUGCUUGCCAAUGCUCUUUACCUGGAUUAUGCAUAUAUCGACUCACCAUGCCAACUGCAUGAGCAAUAUCCGGUCUAGAGCAUACCAUUGCAUACAUCAAACUACCAAUCAAAUUUGCAUAUGGUAUAUUUUUCAUUUGCAGCUUCUCUUUAUCAGUUUUAGGACACUGUAGAGAACUCAAUUUAAAAUGAGGAGCCAAAGGGGUACUAACCGGUUUGGUUGAAUCAUGAACUCCAAACUUCCGAAUCAACUUCUCAAGGUAUUGUCUUUGAUUCAAACUAACCAAACCCUUCUCUCUAUCUCUAGUGAUCUCCAUGCCAAGGAUCUUCUUCGCUUCACCAAGAUCCUUCAUCUCAAACUCAUUCUUCAUUUGCUUCUUCAAUUUUUCAAUCUCUUCAACAUUCUUUGAGGCAAUCAACAUAUCAUCAACAUAUAUCAACAAAUAAAUGAAAGACCCAUCUUGCAACUUCUUGAAGUACACACAAUAAUCAUAUUGACUUCUAGAAUAAUUUUGGCCUCUCAUAAAUUUAUCAAACCUCAAAUACCAUUGCCUUGGAGAUUGCUUCAAGCCAUAAAGUGAUUUCUUCAAUUUGCAAAACAAAUUCUCCUUCCCUUUCACUAUAUACCCAUCCGGUUGACACAUAUAAAUCUCUUCAUUCAAAUCACCAUGUAGGAAAGCCGUCUUCACAUCAAGUUGCACAAGCUCAAGAUCAUAUUGUGCAACAAGAGCUAACAUAAUACGAAUUGAGGAGUGUUUCACAAUCGGAGAAAAUAUUUCAUUGUAGUCAAUGCCCUCAUUUUGUGCAUACCCUUUAACAACUAAUCUUGCUUUGAAUCUCACAUUGCUUUUCUCAUCAGCAUCUUCCUUCUUGGCAUACACCCAUUUGCAACCGAUAGCUUUCUUGCCCUUAGGCAAUUUAGCUAACUCCCAAGUCUUGUUCUUCAAGAGAGAAUUCAUUUCAUCACCCAUGGCAUUGCACCACCUCUUCUUCUCCUCACUCUCAAUAGCUUCCUCAAAAUUGGAUGGAAUCUCUUCAGUGAUAAUAGGAAGAGCAAAAGCAACAUAGUCACUAUACCGAGCUGGCUUGGUAAUUUGUCUCUUUCCUCUGUUCUUGGCAAUAGACUCUUGAGGUGAAACUUCCUCUUCAACUUGAAUAGAAUCUUCAAGUUCAACUUCUUCAACAUCCUCAUGGUCUCCAACUUCUUCACUUGUAGUGGCAUCGACAUCAGCGAAAAUAGGAUUUGAAGUACUAGAGGCAACUUUCUCAAGCUCCACCUGUUGGACAUCUUUCACAUUCUUCUCAGAGACUUUGUACAUACUUUCUUCAUCAAAUGUCACAUCUCUACUAAUUACCAGUUUCUUCAUCUCUGGACACCACAACCUGUAACCUUUGACACCACUACUAAAACCAAGAAAGAUAGCCUUUUUGGCUCUAGGAUCAAGUUUAUUUUCAGUCACAUGAAAAUAAGCAGGUGAACCAAAAAUACGGAUAUAGUCAUAAUCAGAAGAAGGUUUUCCAGUCCAUACCUCCAUUGGUGUCUUACCCUGAAUAGCAGCUGAGGGUAAUCGAUUGAUGAUGUGACAUGCAUAAUUAACUGCCUCUGCCCAAAAUGACUUGCUUAAACCCGACUGAGACAACAUACAUCUAACCUUCUCAAGCAAGGUUCGAUUCAAUCUUUCUGCAACUCCAUUUUGUUGUGGAGUUCCCCGAACACUGAAAUGUCUCACAAUUCCUUCCUCUUUACAAACUUUAGAGAAAGGAUCGGAUGUGUAUUCACCACCAUUAUCCGAUCUCAAAAUCUUAAUCUUUCUCCCAGUCUGGUUCUCAACCAUUUUCUUCCAACCCAAGAAAAUGCUUAACACCUCACUCUUGUGCUUCAUAGUGUAGACUCAAGACCUUCUUGAAUAAUCAUCAACAAAGGUCACGAACCAAUGUCUACCACUCAAAGAUGGAGUCUUUGUAGGACCCCAAACAUCCGAAUGCACAUAAUCAAGAAUGCCCUUCGUCUGAUGUACAGCAGUACCAAACUUCACUCUAGUUUGCUUUCCCAAGACACAAUGCUCGCAGAAAUCAAGCUUACAAGUCGUGGCACCUUUUAGAAGACCUUGUUUCACAAGCCCUUGUAAAGCUUUCUCACCGGCAUGGCCUAAUCUCAUAUGCCACAGUCUAGUAGUAUCUGAAUCAGAUGUGCCCAUAUUUUCAGAGACUACAGAUGCUUCACCUGUCACAGUGCUUCCCUGCAAUAAAUACAAAUGGCCACAUCGAGGAGCUUUCAUCACAACAAGUGCACCAUAAGUAACUUUCAAUGUCUGUCCAUCUGAAUGAAACCUGAAGCCCUUGGAUUCCAAAGUACCCAAAGAAAUAAGAUUUUUCUUCAAAUUCGGUACAUACCGAACACCUGUCAACUCUUUAACCAUGCCAUCAUGCAACUUCAAACGAACUGUACCAAUCCCUUUUGUUGUGCAAGGAUUGUCAUCUCCCAUGAACACAACGCCACCAUCAAACUCUUUCAAGCUUGAAAACCAAUCCUUGUGAGGAGUCAUAUGAUGAGUACAACCCGUAUCCAACACCCACUUAGUAGCACAAUCAAAUGAUGAGGAAGUGGUUAAAGCAAAAUCAAAAAGAUCUGUUUCAACCUCAGCAACAUUGGCUUCAGAACUUUCUUUUCCUUUGGUCUUCAACUUAGGACAAUCUUUCUUCCAAUGGCCCUUAGUAUGACAAAAGGCACAUUCAUCCCUUUCCAAAGGUUUUCUACCUUUAGAGUUUCCUCUAGGUCGAGACUGUGAAUUUUUCCUACUAGAAGAUGAUCUCCUCUCCGAUGAUCUACCUCUAACAAAUAAAGCUUCAGAGGUACUAUCAUGAUUUUUAUCUCUAUGCCUCAUUUCAUAAUUCAUCAAGGCAUUUGACACAUCUUCAAAUUUCACAGUUUCUUUACCAUGCAUAAUAGUGGUAACAAAAUGCUCAUAAGAGUCCGGCAAGGAAUUCAACAAUAUUAAGGCCUUAUCUUCAUCCUUAAUAUCCUCAUCUAAAUUUAACAAGUCGGCAAUCAACUUAUUAAAAGCAUCAAGGUGUCUAAUCAUUUUUGUACCUUCUUUGUAUUGAAAGCGGUAGAGCUUUUUCUUCAAGUGUAGCCGGUUCUCUGCACUCUUCGUCAUAUACUUAUCUUCCAAUUUUUGCCACAACACACUUGCUACUGUCUCCCGCAUCACAAAAUAUUUCUGAGUUUUUGCAAGGCACAACCGAAUUGAAGAGCAAGCCCACAAAUUUAAUUUCUCCCAUUCCGGCUUCGACAUAGCUUCCGGCUUCUCUCCCAAAGCGGCAAGUAGAUCUUGUUGAGCCAACACAUCUUUGACCUCACAUUGCCACAUCCCGAAGUUGUUUGUGCCAUCAAACUUUUCCACUUCGAACUUUGCAUUUUGCACCGUAGUUCUUGCAAACCCGGAGCUGCUUCCAAAAGGAUUUUCAUCUUGCCCGUCUGACAUCUUUGGCAACUAGACAGUACCCAAGAGCAACCAGUGCUCUGAUACCAAUUGUUGUGCUAGGAUAGCACCAAACCCGUUGGAACCAACUCAAGCUAACCCACAUGAAAUUUAUCAAAUGAAAAUGCAAGAAAAAAAUAUUAAAGACACCAAGAUUUUAACGAGGUUCCUCAACAGUCAGUGUAACUAGAGUACGUCCUCGGAGCAGUAGGAGCUCACCCAAUAAUCCACUAUCAACCAAAUGGGAGUUUACAAAGUGUUGGCAAUCUCACAACCCAUAAGCCCAAUACACCCAAUAGCUCUCACACACCAAAGAAACAAAUAGAGAAAGAAAUAUAAUGAAUAUUUCUUCUCUACACAUAUAGCUCAAAGCUAUUACAACAACAACUACUUUGAUAAAUGAUUACUAACCAAAAAAAAAGAAGCACUUUCUUCUUCUCUUCAAAGAGGGGCUGCUCCACUUCUAUUUUUCUUCUCUGUUUUUCUGAUGCACAAUUCUCAUCUCUCUCUCUAAUUGCUCCAAAGGCAACAACACAAUGUUAAAAACCAAAACCCACGGGUGUUAUGGCCAAAACAAUUCACCUUAGACAAGGUGCCAUGUUUUCCUCCCCAAAACAUGGAAGAGACAUAAUUAUUUUGUCUUUUUUUCCUUUUUGAUUUGUUUAAUCAAAAGUUGGCCACUUGGCCACAUACUCCAACACUCCCACCGUCGCUCGGCCUCCACACGACUGGACCUCUCUCCACCGGGCCUCCGGCCCCUUCUUCUCCACUGUCCCCCGAGCAACCCACAUGGGUGGAGUUGCUCUAACAACAUCAGACAAGAAGUAGAAAAUACAGGGGAAAACAAGACACGGCAAACCACCAUGUCACCCUUACUUCAACCAAAGCGAAAGCUAGUUUGGAGGGCAGGGGAGUCCAUCUUUGUUCAGAACACGGACAAACGAAGAUGGAGAUUUCUUGUUAACUCAAAUAUGGUGCCGGAAGUUCUAUCAUCCCAGCCGUAUAUUUCUCUGUGAGACAGAUGAAAGCAUAAAUACCAUAAGCUUAAGCUGCUUAGUGUUAUAAAAUCAAAAUCUGUUUUUCUUUCAUUUGUUUCUUGGUUUUCUGUCAGUUUCUUAACUAAACUCGGCAUCUGACUGUUUUGAGCUUUGCUAUUCCGAAUAGACAAUUGCAGAGUGUGUGGGGGGACUGGUACUUCAAUCGAAGUGCAGCGAAGCUAAUAGAGUGCCAGUUUCCAUGCAAUCCGACCUGCUACAAUGUGAAUUUCACUCGAGGUUGAUUGAACUCAAGAAACGCUUUCAACUUUUCAACUGUUAUUCCGAACUGUAGAUCUUUGGAGCCUCAGUUCACCCUAGUGAAAAUUCUACCCUCAUCCAGACUCCGAGCACGAUCCUAUCCCUGUAGAUAUUGAGAAAGAGGGUGUGUAGAGAAAAUUUAACACAGUUUAUAGCUGCUGUCACUUCUUUUUACAUGGAGGAGGAAACGUUGUUUUUUACAUUCAAAGGCUAGAGACCAUUUUGCUACAGCUUAGUGAUGUAGAUGUGUAUAAAAAGACGAUAAUGCACGUCAUUUUUGUAACCGAAAAGUCUCAUUUUUUCUAUUCUGUGACAUUUUUUAGACUAUUAGUAAAAAUUUAUGACUUGUUUGGAUGUGCUUUUAAAAUGAUUGAAAGUGCUUUUAGAGAAAAUAUUUUUGGAUUCCAAAAGCACCUUCAGUACUUUUUGCAAAAAUCACUAGUUAUGUGCUUCUUUUAAGAAUCACUUUAAGUGUUUUUCCAAGAUUUACUUGCAUUUUUACUAAGGAUUGGUUCCAAAAACAUUUUCACCAAAAGCACUUUUAGUUAUUUUAAAAGCACAUCAAAAUAAGCUCUUAAUCUUGUAUUAAUUUUACUCGUUAUAUUUGGACAGUUGAAUCAUAAAUACAAAACCCAAAAUUCUAAAACUAGUUUCUUGAGCUACAAGAUCUCUAUCUAGUCCAUAAGCUAAGGGAAAAGAGCUCUAUUUUUUUUUAUAUUACGUGCUCGUUAAGAAUCGUGUCAUGUGAAUUAACGACUAGUUAUCACUCAUGUGUCGAGAGUCUGACUUGUUUUUUUAGCAUGCAAAACAUUUUUCCUGCUUCAAAAUAAUGCUACCUUUCUUUUUGGUCUGAAAAUAAUGGCCUACAUUUUUUUUUUUUUUUUUUGGAACUUUAACGAAAAUCACCCAGUACUGUUCACUUUAACGAAAAACCACAUUUUUACACUAAAAAGUCAAUCCUGGUACUAUUCACUUUACCCUUUAUUUUGUCCUUAUCAUUAAAACUCAAAGUUUUCAAGCCCUUUUUAUUAGUUUUUUUUUUUUUUUCGAUAAUAAUGCCCUACCUCAUUCUCUGGAUUUAUUCUAUAAAACAUUGUUUCUUGCAAGAAACGCAAAAACAAAUAAACAAAAAAAAAAUAUGAAAGUAAAAUUAAAAAACCAAAAACAAAAAACAAAAAAAAGCUUCUUGUCUUAUUGAAAACUGGCGGUUAAUUUUUCAGUGUCCGUUUGACUGCGGCAGCAGAGCACCGGAGGCAGUCAGCCGAUUGAUGGCGGGGCCAUUGGUGAAUCCCAGGCUUCGCAGCCUUCUAUGGUGGCGAAGGUGGGCCAAAAAGGACUGGGCAAUCGCCGCCGUCGGAUGUACCGUUAUCGCCUUCGCUCUCACUCUCCUCUCCAACUCUUGGCGCGACGAACCAGACUCCGAAAUCUCCCGCCCGUUUCUUCCCAACGCCGCCGCCUUCGAUUUCGU